GAUAAACCUCACUGACCUCCACAAAUUCUAUGUGCGCCCAUCUAGAUCCGCCCCUGUUAAUGUAUGCAUGGUCGAAUUGGGAUAAAUUUGAAGUACAUAGUUUUAUUAGAAGUAAGGCUAAGACGCCCUUCAGUUUCAAUCGAGCUAGGAAAUUACUGCUAGUGGUCUGGGAAAAUCCUUUUUGUUCCCGCUGUGUGGAAUUGUGUGUUGGAGCGAGAUUUUAUCGCAAAGCUGUAUGGGUUUAUUUUUAAACUAAGCAGGGGAUUUUUAUUUUAUUUUACUUAUGAGCUUUGAACUGUGACAUUUAGAUUUUGGCCGCGGUUGGGUCACUUCAGCUGCCUGUCCUUUACCAGAGCUGUUAGUGACAGCUUUAAAGCUGGAAUGGGUCACACUUUGUUAGAAGUUGCUUGGUACCUUCCAAUGAAAAGCUUUUGCAUUCAGAUUGCUCAAGUUAGGUAGACAGAGUUUUUCACCUUUUGUAUAUUUUUCAAUAACCAGCCUAUGCUGUACCUAACAUGAUGUCCACUUAGGUUGCUUUUUAGUCUUUUCCUUAGUGGCUACCCACAAUGGAAAGUAACAUAUAAUAGUAACAUGCAUAUGUUACUAGUCUAAGUUACUACCUCCAUAGUGGGUAGUAACAUAGAAAUGUUAACAUAGAGAUUUUCAUUUAUUAGCAUAUAGACUCAUCUUGUCUUGGUAUGUGUGAUGUUACUCAUAGUAUGAGUAACUAGCUAUGUUACUCAAUUUGUCCCUCUCCUCAUUAAUUUGCUGUCACAUCAUCUUUUUUGAUUAUGUGGCAUCUAUGUUACUACCUAUGUUACUCCCACUGUGGGUAGUCUUAGGAGCAUCCGCCAGCUGUUUGUAGCCUUGGCCUUUCCAGAUAUGCUGCAUGGCUUGCAGUAUUAUUUUUUAUGAAUCAUGGCACCUCAGGUAGGAUUAUAAAUGUCCAGGCUUCGUUGAUCAAACCAGGAGCAUGCAAAUGGUAUUUGAUGAUUUUUGCUCUUCAUGGUCUAGAUUAUAUUACCGAAAAAGGUUUUCGCCCCGCUUUAUAAAUAAAGCAAACCGCCAUAGCACAACAAACAGGUCCAACACACAAAGACGCACAAACGCACGCCCCACACACCCGCGUCCAUCACCCACAAACACAAACGCACAGAAGUAGCACAAGACAACACCAAAGGGUUUUGCUGAGGGCACAGCUCAACAAGUCUAGAUUAUAUUACCCAGUUCGUCACAUGCUUACCUGCAUCUACCCGGUUGUCUAUAAGUUAUUGUUUCCCAGUUGACUGUCUAGUGUCAGUAUGUUACUGUGCUGUAGGAAGGCACUACAUUGACUAACAUGCAAACCUGGUGAGUUGACUGUCUAGUGUCAGUAUGUUACUGUGCUGUAGGAAGGCACUACAUUGACUAACAUGCAAACCUGGUGGGUAUGCAAACCUGGUGGGUAUGCAAACCUGGUCGGUAUGCAAACCUGGUGGGUAUGCAAAUCAGGAGCAUGCUUAUUAUAUUGGACAUAAAUUCCAGAUGCUAAGUUAAAUAUUCUUAUGCAGCGUUCCAGUUUCAUUUAUAAAUAUUUAUAUAUCUGGCAUAGUUCAGGGAGGGUGGGGCAUAAUUUCUUUAGAUUUGUAUAUGUUGGUAUGUAACUGAUCAGCGACCAGUAGGUAGCUGGCCUAUGUACUUUUCUAGACUCCUAGUUUAUUGCACUUUGAUCAGUUGUUGCUAGUUAAUUCUUAUACUACAUACUAAGGCACACAUCUGAUCUAUUAUUGUUAAUUUGAUAUUCUGUUACAUGUAUUCUGCAGGCUCACAGUCAUAAGUGGCUUCGCAUGAGCUUUGUGGAGUGAUGCCUUUAUUGUUGUAGGCUUUUCCUAACAUGUAGCUUCAAUGCUAUACUUGCACUGGAUUUAUGUUUAGAAGAAAGAGAUGCAGAAGUCUGACCAUCACGAGCAGAAUCUUACUUCACCAAGGGGACUGAUCCAUAAAGUGCUUCGUCGUACAAAUAGCAGGCGAUCUCCAACUGCAGCAGAGCAAGAUCCUUCUCCUGUAUUUGCAGAAACAAGCAAUACUAAAUUCUUAAAGCAAAAGAAUGUAGAAGGUGCAACCAAAGAUCCAGAAAAGGGGAGCACUCACGAUAACCGAACUGAAGAUGAGAAGUCUGAUUUGUUAGGAUACGAAGUUUGUUCUGGGAAGCUUACAUUAGAUAGCAAAGGUAGAAGCGUUUCAGGUGAACAGUCGGGAUCAGGGUCUAGUGGCAAUUGUUUCGAUGCUAGGCUCACCACUGAAGCCUUAGUAUGGGGCUCUAACAUCCUUAAGCUUGAGGACAUUAUAUCUGUAAGUUGUUGGCUCAUUGACUUCAGUCUGCAACUGUCAUAUAUGUGUUUCUGAGUUUUACCACAAGCAGACAUCACGUUAAUAAUAAGCUCUUGUUUAACUUAACCCACAGGUAUCAUACAAUUCUGGGCUCCGGCAUUUCACUGUGCAUGCAUGCCCUCUUGAAAAGAGAUCUAAUGGACUUUCCUGCUUUAUGAAGCCUAGAAGAAUCCAGAGGGACUUGCGUUUCCUAUCCACUGCUCCACACGAGGCCUUUCGGUGGGUUAAUGGUUUUGCAGAUCAGCAAUGCUAUGUAAAUCUGUUACCACACCCCAUGGCAUCAAGCAAAAAGCAUUCUUCUGAACUCAUUCCAUUUGAUGCCAUGCUUGAUCCAUAUGUUAAAUGUCGAUCUCCACCAAAGAUACUUGUCAUCCUGAAUCCUCGAUCUGGACAUGGUAGAUCUAGCAAAGUUUUCCACGGGAAAGUGGAGCCCAUAUUUAAGGUAUGUCUAGCUAAGUAGAAGCAUGUUAAUAUCAAGAUCACAUCUACUUGGGUUGUUGCCAAAUAAGAUAUUAAUUUAGUUUAUAAGCAUGCUUUCAAAAUUAGAUCAGUAAGGUAUUUUGCAUGUUCAAGGGUGGUCGCUACAAUGAUCUUCACCCAACUUAAAAACGUGUUCUCAUCUAAAAAGGAAAACAUGUUUCCAUGUAUGUGUUUUAGAAUCACGAUCCUAAGUAGAAACCUUUUUGUUUGAUGUAAUCGAUCUAGGAUCGGGCCAUUGAAUCAUUAUUUUACCAGAUUUUUGAAGUAGACACAAUUCGUGUGAAAAUGAGUCAUUUAUGCAAAUCUGCAAAUUUAUAUACUUCAAAGUUUGUAUUUGGGCUGUUUUUUUUUUGUAAACUGGGAACACUUCCUUACAUUACAUUCAGUUGAAUUCAUUUCUGGUCUUACUCAAUUCAUUUUGUGGUUAUAUUGAUUACUGAGAUGUAUAAUAUGUGGAUCUUAAUAUAUUUUGGAUCUCAAUAUACUUUACUCAGGGUGGCAUGCACAAAGCAAAAAGGAAAUACGAUAAAAUAAACUGAUGUAAUUUAGAUCAAUAAUGUGUAAUAUGGAGUCUUGUAUGCUGUAUAGUUUAAUAUCCAGAUCCCAAUUACUAGCCUGAUCUUACCUUUGAUUCCAGUCAUUAGGGCCUUUGACAUCUAUAUUGAUUUCUUAUGUCAGUUAAUCAGUUCUAUGAUGCUGAAUUUGUUAGAAAUGCCAUUUCUGUAUAUUUUUGACAUUUGGGAGUGCCAUUCAGUUAUAUAUCAAGUUUAUAGGUGAUGCUUGUUUAUGCAGAUGUUUUUUUUGUACCUCAAGUACUUUCAUCUGGUUUAAUAAUAAUAAUAAUAAUAAGUGUUAGAGACAGCUUGCAGGUUUCAAGAUGGAAGUGGUUAAAACUACACAUGCUGGUCAUGCAAAAUCUCUUGUAUCAACUAUUGAUUUUAGUACCUGUCCAGAUGGUAUAUUUAUCUUUACAUCUUUCCUGAGUAGUUUAUGUUGAUCAUCUAAAUCACUUUUUGCCUGCACUUUCUAGGAAUUGUAUGUGUGGGUGGCGAUGGAAUUGUUAACGAGGUUAGUGUAUAUUAAUUCCAUGCAUAUUCUUUUUGUUGGCCUCUCUGUCAUGUUAGUUUUUUGGGGUCUAGUGUGGUAUAGUAACAAGAAAAGAUAAUCCUAGUGUCGGUCUUUCACACAGUUGUGGUCUGGAUUCGACUAGUACACAUGCAUAUUAAUGGAUUAUUACAAGCUAAAUAUGGAUUCAUUCAUCAGGAAGAGUACAGUUCUUUUUCCAGGACUGUCACAUAGUUCUGAGACAUAAACUAUGCACAUCUCAAAGCUCACAGCAUUUUUUUUUUUGGGGGGGGGGGGGGUAUAGUCCAUGGAAUGUACAAAAUCCACUCUUAUUAGUAAUAGCAAACAAUGUGACAGUAAUUACUAGCUUACUAGGUUCAGGGUUUUAUCUAGGGGGCAUAAAAAGUGUGCAUAUACCAUAUUCUACUUUGCUAUGCCACAACAAUUUUGAGUUCGUUGAACAAAGUUGCUGGGUUUUGGAUACUCAGAAGGUUUAAGUUGUUCCAGUACUACUACCAACUAAAUACUUGUCUUUAACAUUUGAGGGCCAUGUAUGUUUGCUACUGUUCAACGUUUUUAUUUCCAUAAGCACUUAAGGAGCCUGUUUGUUUGGUAGUUUCCCAAGGACCCGGACACAUCCUCUCCCUGUUGUCAAAAUAGAUAUUCGUGUGCUAACUACAGGUCCUGAUACAACAAUCAACUUAUUGCGUAGGUACUCAAUGGUCUUCUGUCCAGAGAUGAACAAAUUGAGGCAGGCUCUGUUCCAAUUGGCAUAAUACCUGCAGGAUCUGAUAACUCACUUGUUUGGACAGUAUUGGGUGUUAAAGAUCCAAUAUCUGCAGCAUUGUCCAUUGUCAGGGUAAACAACAUUUCAUUUGUUCAGUUUUACUGAUGCUUUUCUGUAUAUGUUUAACUCCUCUUGCAACUUUGCAUAUAAUUUUUUGACGCCUCAUUUUAAAGAGUACGAGUUAUUAAAAAUCUAAAUGUUACUCAUUAUGUUGGGUAAGAUUAUGUUCAUAGAUACACCUUUAGGGAUUCAGUUCCUUGAUGUAAAACAAUUUAAUCAUGAAUUAGGUUCAGCUAAAUCUCAUCAAUUGUGGUUAAUGGUGCUUGUACACUUAACUGCCAGUAUCCCAAAAAUCUGUAUGUUUCUGUUUCGUUUCUUUUACAGAUAAUAUUCUUCUUUCAUUUCUAAUUGUCUGCCCUCCCUGUGGUUCCAUUUGUCUGGGCCUGUAUGUCACUGCCGUAAGGUUAGCUGUUCUGUUGGACUUCACCCCAAAUUCACGUGACUACAACAUGUCCUAUUGUUGAGCCUUUCUUAACAUAUACUCCCUCUGUUCCUAAAUAUAAGUAUUUCUAGAGGUUUUACUAGUGUACUACAUACGGAUGUAUAUAGACAUAUUUUAGAGUAUAGAUUCAAUCAUUUUGCUCCGUAUAUAGACCCUAGUAAAAUCGCUUAAAAGACUUAUAUUUAGGAACGGAGGGAGUAUAUUUUCUCAUGUUAUUUAUAUGAGGCAGGUAGCGCCCGCUAGACGGUACAUCUUCCUCACAUGGUCACAUGGGAGUUACUUCUUUGUAAUUGUCCAUUAGGCUUCCCUGAGAUCCCUCCACCAUGGACCCACACAAAAAGUACAACACAGCUCCACUUUUAAUACGACAAUAACGCUCCUCCAUGUAGCUUUCUUUUGAUUCUGCAUUACUGUGUUAUUGUCAUGGUGCCAGCAACACCCAACCAUGUCUUAACACUGACGCCAACAAAGUGAAAAUAUGUUGUACCUGUAGUUUCAUCUAAGAGAUGCUACCCUAUACUUAUUUGAAUUGUUUAGAGCAUCUCCAACAGCCUUUGUAUAUUUGCACUCACUUGCUAUUUUACAAAUCUUGGUCAAAAAACCUUCUCCAACAGCCUUUUUAUAAGUGGUCCCCCACCAAUUUUUUUUACAAAGCUUGCUAUAUUUGCACCCACACUUUGCAUAUUUGCCAAGCCAAAGGCCACUUUGUAAAUUUUUAGCAAGCCUCCUAAAGCCCCACUUUGUCUCAAUGGUAGGUGGGUCCGUGUACUAGUGUGUGUGCUGCGCGUGCGCUGUGUGUGUGCGCGCGCGCAUGUGUAUGUGUGUGUGUUGCAUGUGUACGUGUGUAUGUGUACGUGUGUACGCUAGUGUGCAAUGUGUCUUAUGACAAACUGUCCUCACAUGUCAUUGUGUGUUUUGUGCAAAUAUAGCAAUCCAAUAUACAAAGGCUACCAAAGCAAAAAACAUGUUGGCUUUGUAAACCUUCUCUCUCCUCUUGCUAUAACAAUUUUUUAGCAAUCCAAUAUACAAAGGCUGUUGGAGAUGCUCUUAGUGUCGAUACCAUUAAUUAUUGUGCUUGCGAUUUCAUUGUCUAUGUUUUCAUAUAAUAUCUAGUCAAGGUAAUAAUAUUCAUUAAAUUUUUUGUUUGUUGCAGGGAGGUUUUACACCUAUUGAUGUUUUUUCUGUUGAAUGGAUUCAGAGUGGGACUACACAUUUUGGCACAACAGUCUCAUAUUUUGGGUUUGUUAGCGAUGGUACCACAUACUUGAAUUUUCAGGAAAUUUUCUCUUAUUUUUAAAAUAUAAAUUAGCUUCUUGAACUAAAGCGAGUUUCCAUUUAUCUGCUGCAGUUCUUGAACUCUCAGAGAAAUACCAGAAGCGUUUUGGUCCUCUCCGUUACAUUGUUGCUGGUUUUCUGAAAUUUCUGUGCUUGCCAAAGUACACUUUUGAAUUGGAGUAUCUUCCAGUAGCAGAUGUUGAUGGUGCUGGGCACAAAAUUGUGGAGGGACAAGAAAAGGUUGAUACGUCAGACCUCUAUGACGAUGUAGUUCAGAGGUCGAGAGCAGAAUGUUUACCGCGCGCAUCAAGUUUGUCUAGCAUUGAUUCAAUCAUGUCUACGAGCAUAAUGUCUGGGGGAGAAGCAGAGGUUCCUAGUCCACGCGCUAAUAAUGAACCGUCUGAACUUGUGCGUGCACUUGAUCCGAAAUCAAAACGCCAGUCAUUAGGGAGGACAAGUACUUUCAAGGAACCAGAAGAAUUGCUCCAUCCUCAGGCAUCAACUCCCAGCUGGCGUAGAUCCAAAUCAAAGUCAAGGACAGAAAAGGCGUGGCCAGGUUUGACUGCUACAAAUGAGACUAAACCUUCUAAGGGCACGACAACACAUGAUAAAGAAGACACAUCAUCCACAGUUUCAGAUCCUGGACCUGCAUGGGAUACAGGACCCAAGUGGGAUAUGGAGCCUAAAUGGGAUAAUCAACCUAAUUGGGAACCUGAAACUCCUAUCGAGCUACAUGGUCCAUCAGAUGACAUUGAGCUUGGUCUGACUAAGGAACUAGUCCCAAGCUUAGAUGAAAGAUGGGUCGUCAGGAAAGGGCGCUAUCUCGGUGUAUUGGUAUGCAACCAUUCAUGCAAGACUGUGCAGAGUUUAAGUUCCCAGAUAGUUGCUCCCAAGGCUGAAUAUGACGACAACUGUCUGGACCUGCUGCUGGUUGGUGGAAGUGGGAGGCUAAGGUUAUUAAGGUUUUUGGUGCUUUUGCAGUUUGGAAAACAUAUUUCUCUUCCGAAUGUGGAAUAUGUAAAGGUGUGAUUUUGCUCCUCUUUGUCCAGAAUCCAGUUUUACUCAUGACAGAAAAACCAUCCGAUUUUAGUUCCAUUCAUCUGACAAAUUGCUGUGCUUACUUUCAGGUAAGAUCCGUAAGGCUUAAGGCAGGCCCGAAUACACAUGAUGGGUGUGGUAUCGACGGGGAACUACUCCAUGUCAAGGGGCAGGUCCGGUGCAGUUUGCUACCUCAGCAAAGUCAUUUGAUAGGCAGGCCAGCCAAAAACCUUGUACAGUAACUGUAAAUACAUCACCCUGCGGCCCUAUAUCUGCCUGGAAAUUCGCACCUGUACAACCGGCAACUUUCUUGAUCUUUUUACCUCUGCAUCCAGAACAGCUUCGCUGACAGACAGGCACGUAUAACUCCAGCGAUGUACAUUUGUGCUUGAUGACCUAAAGUGCCAGAGGGUGACAUUUAUCCAAAAAAUGUAAAGCCUAUCUGGUCUGCAGCCUGCUGCGCUUCUCUUUGUUUCGCCUUUUCUUUGGCUGGUAUGGGAUGUUGUGCUAUGGAGCCAUCCUGAUCCGCGUACUUGGGGGACGGUUCUGUUGAGAAGAGCAUGGCGCCCACCCCUGGAGUGUGCGGUUGUUUGGAGGUCCCUGGUGCCGGCCACUUGAUAAUGCUUGUCACCCCCCAUUAGAGGGACAAAACGCUCCCAAUGCUAUGCCCCUCAUCAGCUUGUGAUGUUUACAGAAAGUGCCAACAGAUUUCUAUCAUGUCAUGUUCCCGGUAUAGUAUAGGAUUUGGAUGAACCCAAAAAAGGAGAGAAGAUAUUUGUGGUGCUGCUGGCUUUUCCACCUAUAGUUCUUUUUGUGUGUGUGUGUGUGUNNNNNNNNNNNNNNNNNNNNNNNNNNNNNNNNNNNNNNNNNNNNNNNNNNNNNNNNNNNNNNNNNNNNNNNNNNNNNNNNNNNNNNNNNNNNNNNNNNNNNNNNNNNNNNNNNNNNNNNNNNNNNNNNNNNNNNNNNNNNNNNNNNNNNNNNNNNNNNNNNNNNNNNNNNNNNNNNNNNNNNNNNNNNNNNNNNNNNNNNNNNNNNNNNNNNNNNNNNNNNNNNNNNNNNNNNNNNNNNNNNNNNNNNNNNNNNNNNNNNNNNNNNNNNNNNNNNNNNNNNNNNNNNNNNNNNNNNNNNNNNNNNNNNGUGUGUGUGUGUGUGUGGUGUAUUGAGUUGUAUUUUCUCCCGGCUGUCUGCCAUAACGUGUUGGAUCAUAAAUCUUUGUCAGGGUAAACCUGCAGGUACAUAUGUGGUACUAUGUGUUGUUCUCUGUUUGGGAAUAAACAGCAUGUCUUGAUGGUGUGUGACAUUGUUGGUCGCAAAGAACUGAAUGGUGCCUGCUUUUAUCAUUUCGUUCAUGAGGAUCAUACACCCCCUGCAGGGCUAAAACUUGUUAAUCAAAAAAGGUCUGGAAAGCGUUCGGCACGGACAAACCGACAAACAAACGCUACGCUUCUGGCAGCAAGGAUCAUUAGGGCCCGUUUGUUCAUGACUAACUUUAUCAUAACUAAGCUUGAACAAAAUAUUGUUGUUAUAAAAAGUGUGGCUAAUAAAAUGACCACCACAAAUGUGGCUAGCAAAAUAAGCACCACAAGAGUAUAGCAAGAUUUGACAAAAAAUUAAGUCUAUAACAUGUGGAUCAUGUAGCUAGAAAAAUAUGACAAGCCAUAAGUAACAAUAAACCAAACAUGUGCCUAAGAUAUUAUGACACAGUUAAGGUUAGACGUGACAACCUUAGACUGCGAACCAAACAAACAUAUAUUCUUUAUUUAGGUACGAAAAUCAUCACUGCCAAAGAUAUAUAGAACAAUUGGCUUAUAAUUGUAGGACGCAGUUGGUAGCUCCCAGGAGCUGGAGGUUGCUAAAAGGGAUAGCCAACAAAAAAAGCAAGGGAGGGGAGGAGGGGCACCGGGAAAAAAGACACCUGGAAAAAACAUGGCUAGCUAGCUUAGAGUACAGUAAUAAGUUUAAAAAGGUAUAAUUAAUAGACUGUAAGGAUUAAUUACUAUGUUUUUAUCGAAUUGGAUAAUAGAAAAAGAAGAAAGAAGAUAAAUGCUGUAAACACAAGCUCAAAGAAACAUUGAAAAUGUAAUGUGGGUCAGUUAUUAAUAAAUUAGUGUGUCUUACUAAGAGCCUGUUCGGACCCUCUCCACUCUGGAGCUCCGGGAGCGGAGCGGAGCGGCGUGUAGUUGUAAUUUAGGGAGUAGUUAAUAUGAUGCAAUUUAGGAAGUAGCUAAUAGGAUGCUCCGUGCUCCGCUCCCUGGUGGAGGAGUGCCGAACACCGUCUAACUAAUAGUACUACUAUACAUGUUGCUUAUUAGAUUGGCUAGGUGAUAUAGAAACUUCAUACAGCUGGUUGUUGUCUAUAUUAUUAAUCAUGCUUGGCAUUCCCAAUGCGAACCCUCAAAUAGCCCGUCAAUGUCUAGAUCAAGAUGUCCAGACACAUUUUGUCAUUCAAUGUGUAUUUGUCAGACGCGGCCAAGGUCCUUUUUUUACAAAUCAGACGCUAACCAAAGGUCACACUCAAAAUCACUCCUACCCGCACGACCGCUCCAAUAGUCCUACGCCACAUUUAUGUCGGUCUGGAAUGGACACGACCCCUCGCAACAUGCUAGACAUUGAAGGGACACGUUGACCGAGAGCGCCGUUGGUGCCACACCCGUUCGCUCGCACUCCGUGUCGCGUUCAAUGCCGGCUCAGAACAACAUGACCGGACUGGGAGACAUGACGGCUUCCUGCUGCAUUGAAGCUAGCUACCCAUUUGUUCGUCCGCCCAACAUAGAAGAGGUACGCUAUAGCAGAAACCCAACACCCGCUCCUGCAUUCAAACCGCCGCUUCGGUUAACCGACGCCCGUUAUAUAAACAUGGCCGCGCAUAGCCCGAACUGCACCACCUCCGCUUCCCCUUCCUCUUUCGUGCAUGACCGUUGGAGCAAUGACAAUGACCGUCAGAGUGCUGUGGAAGCGACUCUCGUCGAUGUAGAAGCACGACAUGAUGGCCCUUGCUAACGCCUGGCAUGGCUGGCAUGCGCGACACAUAGAGGCCGAACUGCCUUUCGUUGGAGGAUGAUGACCGCACGAUGCAACAGACAUCCGACGCCGCACCCGCUCCCGUGUCGGUUACUGGCUUCACCAUGGCGCAGGUGCAGACGCACUAGGGGUCGUCAUGGCGACGGAGGAGGAGCCGAUGCAACCUGCACCACCAAGCUCCAUGUUCUGAAUGUUGCAUGAGGAGCAAUGAUACAACAUCCGGCUUCUCGAGCACCACCGGCUUGCGGAGGGACAAAUCGCCAACAAGCAAGCGAACAAGGUGUCGUUGCAGACAUGGUCAUGAAGAAUUCAGGCUCCUGGAUGAGCAGCGGGCGUUGUACCAGUCAAUAUGCAGCGCCCGUGACAUCUGCCGCGAGCGAUGUGGCUGCGCGUCGUGCGGGCAGAGACUGACACAUUGUUGGUGAAGAGGCGCAGAGACGAACACAUAGGCAAUGCACACGAUCAUGGACGUGAAUGCUACUGUCUAUGUCGCUAGCUCUACAUCGAUCACGCCGCACGCGCGGUUCUUGCCCGGCCGCAACGAUCAUAAGACUGGCCCAACCACAUUGAUUGUGGACCUCAUCUCAACCGGUGACGUUCACACGGCGGACUCCGGUGAAGAAGAGUAGGAGACAAGACACAUAUAUAGGCAUCUCGUGUCCUAUUUACUGCAACUUCGUGUCCCAUAUCCUACUCUCUUCCUGUAUGCGACCCGUAAUUUCAUUUGUCGAAGCUCACGGACAUAAAAAAAAACAGGACGUGGAACACAUACGCCUCCACGUUUGGCGAAGAUUUAUACUAGGUUAAAAAAGAAUAAUGUGUGCUUUUGUUAAUGAAAUAUUUUAAAAAUAUUAUUAAUCUUGUCCAAUUAAAAUAAGAAAUAUUUAGUUUAUAUGAAAUCUGUCUAGUUUGUUUAAAUUUCAUUUGGGACGGAUAGUUACUCCGAUCUGAGAGACGGCUUUUGGCGUUAGGCUGUGCAUGCAGAAAGACGCAGGAGCAAAGCAAACAAAAGCCACCGACUGCGCAGGUGCAAACACCCAACGCAAUAUUGCACAGAUCGUACCACUCAAGUACACAGAGAGGGCCAAAAAAAAGGCCGGAGAAAACAGCUGGCAAACCGCAAGAGCAUGGAAGUUGCCGCGCGGCUAGGCUAACACCUGCAAUGGCAGCCGCGGCCCCUGGCGAAGCCGAGCGACACGCAGCGGCCGCCGCGGCGGCACCCGCCGUAGUGGCACACGUCCAUGCAUGCGCUGUUGGCCGCCGCGUCCCCCGGGUCGCACUGCUCCACCGGGAUCGUCGCCCCGCACGGCACCCCCGACGGGUAGUCCUCCACCCACGCCGCCCUCGCCGACGGCGCCGCCACCAAGACCACUGCAAAAACGGGUCACAUCAUUUGCAUCAGGCACGCAUGCGCACAUUCAAGAGAUGCAUGCAGCUCGCGCUUCGCCACUGCAUGCGAGCUCGCGGUGCCUUUUUCGCUUACCGGUGAGCAUGGCGACGAGGACGACGAGGGGGAAGCGCGGGGGCAGCAGGGGGAGACUGCAGCGGCACGCGGCGGCAUCGCCGCCUACUCGAGCCAUGGGUUGCUUAAUUAGCUUCUGUUUUGCUCGCCUGGGGAGUUGACGAGAGCUAGCUGAUGCUCCCGGCCGCGCCCUGUGCAUGCCGGUCAUGGUGCGCGCGGCGUGAUAUAUAGAGGGAGAUGAGCUGACAACGAUGACAAGUGCUGGAAAGCGGCGGCCGCGCGCGGCAAAGGGUGGAAACCGACAGGGCAAGUACGCUUGCUGGCUGCUGCUCUUGUACCUGCAAUAUAUGCGCGGGUCGUUAGCAAUAAUAGUGUAUGUUAUCCGGGCAUCAACUUGUAAUGAGGCUGGUUAUUAUUGCUGUAUAAUUGCUUGAUUUGGACGCGCAUAUCUAGUGUGCUUUUGAUAUAAGGAGGAUUAAAGUUCAUGGCACCGGCACUGGUGUGCUCGAUUUUGACAUUAUAUACUCCGUAGUGCACGGAUUUCACUGGUCAAGUUAGAUUCAACAUCAUCCGAAUGCCUAAUGUACCAUGUACCAAUGAAUGAGGGAACCCCUUUGUUUUCUGAACAAACCUAAACCUUAAAAACUAAACCCUAACUAUCCUGACAUGUUGCUGACAUGAUCAAGUAUGCAUGUAAUUGGCCCAACGACGAUAUCCAAAUACUGUCUCCGUCACUGUUUGAUGCAUGAGUGAAAUAAAUCAAAAGCUAUUAGUAUUUACUAAAGCAAACGUGUGUGAAUAAAAAGUAUGCAUGCACCUCGAAUCAUUGGAGUUGCAACAAUUAAAUUGGAAUAUGCAUGUGGCACAAAAUAGUGUUGCUGGAUAAUGACAUGGCACAUUCGAUGAUGUGAAGGGCCGCAUGUUGAGAGAACUAAAGAUAAUGGAAUGAACUAUUAUUUUGUAAGAUAACUUCGAGUGCAAAGAAACAUGAAUGUGGAAGGAGUGAUGGUGACAACAAUAUUAUUUUAACAUACAACAGAAGACAUGUCCGUCAUGUCCGUAUCGACUCUAAGAAAUGGUUUAGCACAUAAAAUCAUCUAUGACUAUAUUUUCUUCGAUUUCCAAAUUAGGAUGGACGCAGAUACAAAUAUUAGAUCAUGUCGGGUUCAAACAUGGUACGGUUACAGAGUGGACUUAUUCGGAAAUGAACAUAUACCAAAGGGUCCGUCUAUAUCACAUCUAAAUGUGAGAUAAUACCUCACAUCUAAGUAUGAUGUCAGCGCCAUCUUUUUUUAUUGUUUAUCAUGUUUGUUUGAUUUUAAUUUGUCAAAGCCCAAAGCCAAAAACCACGUCGCCCUGCGUCUGCCUUGGUCGGCCUAAACACAAAUCUGGUCACUAGCCCCCCUCAUAAAUAAAUCUGGUCGCUAGCUACCUGUAAAAAAAAAAACUGAUCGCUAGUGCUAAAUCAAUUAGUUAGCUUUUGCGUCUGAUAACAAGUACAUCUCCCAUCGCUAGCUUCUAGGCUACCAUUUAUUUUUUGCAUUUUGGUUUUUGCGUUUUUCACUCUCAUAUUUUAUAACUAAUUUUUAGUAAGGAUCAAAGUUUCGCAACACAUAUUUAAAAAAACAUGUUCAUGAAUUUACACAAAUUUUUCAAAAUUAUAAAAAAUGUUAACGAAUAUAAAAAAUGUUCUAAUGUAUGGUGAACAAUGCUUCAAUAUAUGAUGACAUUUUGUGAAUACACAUUAAUUAUUUUGCAAUACACAGUGAACAUUUUUUCUGAUAUAUGUGAAUUUUGGAUAUACGAUGAACUAAAAGCGAACUUUUUUAUGUACAUUUAACUAAAAGCAAACAUGGAAAAACAAAAAUAGAGAAAAUAGAUAAAUGAGAAGAGAACAAAAAUGACCACAUUUUGAUUUGUUUUAAAAAAUCAAUAAACACGAACAAUUUUAGAAAAACGGAACAAAUUUACAAAUUUUGAAGCACUUAUUGAAACUUGUGAAUUUAUGUUAAAAAUAAUCAGAAAAUGAAAAAAAGAUGAGUUCAACUUUUGAAAUAUAGAAAAACUAAAAGGACGGGUAAAACAAUGAAGAAAAAUGAUAAAAAGCAGUAAAACAUGAAGAAAAUGAAACAAAAAAAUGUACCCGAGCUACUUGAGCUGGCUCGCGUGCAGUUUAUUCGCUCACAAGUGUGGACUUGAAACUAGAACAAGAAAAGGUUGGACCAUCAGUGGCAAGUCGAGGGUGAACUCUUAGUUGGGACUAAAAAAGGCAGACCCCAGUAAUGAGUUGAGUUUGGACUUGCAACUGGGACAAAAAAGAUUGGCCCUAGUUGCGAGUCGAGGGUGGACUUGCAACUUGGACAAGAAAAGGACGAGUCCCGGUUGCGAGUAGAUGUUGGACUUGCAACUGAGGAGAAAAGGCCGGGCCCCAGUUGCGAAUCAAGGGUGGACUCGUAAUUGGGACUGAAAAAGGUCGUACCCCAGUUGCGAGUCGGGAGUGGACUUGCAACUCGGAGAAAAAGGUUGAGCCCUAGUUGUGAAUCGAGGGUGGACUUGCAUCUCGAACAAAAAAGGUUGGGCUCCAGUUACAAGUCGAGGAUGGACAUGCAACUCAGACAAAAAAGGUCGGGCCCUAGUUGCGAGUUGAGGGUGGACUUGCAACUUGGAAAAAAAGUCUAGCCCCAUUUGUGUCAAGAGUGGACUUGCAACUUGGAGAAAAAUGGUUGGACCCGAGUUACACUUUCAACUAGAACAAAAAAAAGGCCAAACCCCAGUUGCGAGUCGAGGAUGGACUUACAAUUAGGAGAGAAAAUUCAGCGCCAUGUUGCAAGUCAAGAGCGCAAUUGCAACCGGGCAAAAAAGGUCGGGCCAACUAUGAAUCAAGGGUGGACUUGCAACUCAGAUAAAAAAUGAUGGACCCUAGUUGCGAGUUAAGGGUGAACUUGCAACUCUCACAAAAAAGGGUCACGUCCCAACUACAAGUCAAGGGGGUAUUGCAACUCAGAUAAAAAAAGUUUGAUUUCUAAUUAUGAGUCGAGGGUGGAUUUGCAACUAGAAAAUAAAAUCGGGCCCCAGUUGCAAGUCGACGGUGGACCUGCAACUAGGAUAAAGAAAGGUCAGGUCCUGGUUGCAAGUCGAGAGCGGACUUGCAACUGGGACAAAAAACAUCGGUUCCAUUUUGUGAUUCUAGGGUGGACAUGCAAAUGAGACCAAAAAAAGAUGGACCCAAUUGCAAGUAAAGGAUGGAUUCACAACUAGAACAAAAAAGUUCAGACCCUAGUUACGAUUCGACGGCGGACUUCCAAAUGGAACAAAAAUACCGAGUCCUAGUUGCGAGUCGAGAGUGGACUUACAACUAGGACAAAAAAGAUCCUAGUUGUGAAUCGAUGGCCAAAAAAAGCAGAAUCAAACAUGCCCACACCAGCAACGCAGAAUCAAACAUGCCUACGCUAGUAAUAUGAUACACAAUAAACAAACAACAACAACAAGCGGAGCAGAAGGUAGAGCGAUUACACGAAAAUUAUUACAGAAACUAAAUCAACGAUGAAUUUUAAAAAUACUUAUAAAAUUUGAAAAGUCAUGAAUUUAAAAGGACCAAAAAAGAAAAUAAAAUAAAAUUUAGAAACCAGAAUAAAUAAUUGAAAAAACAAACAAGAAAAAAAUAAGCAAGGAAAAACAAAUGCAUUUUAUAGCAAAGUUUUACUGGACAUAUACAUUAUUGGAAAUAUGCCCUAGAGGCAAUGAUAAAUAGUUAUUAUUAUAUUUCCUAUUUAAAGAUAAUUGUUUAUUAUCCAUGCUAUAAUUUUAUUGAAUGAAAACAAAGAUACAUGUGUGGAUACAUAGACAAAACAAUGUCCCUAGCAAGCCUCUAGUUGGCUAGCCAGUUGAUCAAUGGUAGUCAAGGUUUUCUGACUAUGUGCAAGUGUUGUCACUUGAUAACUGGAUCACAUCAUCAGGAGAAUCAUGUGAUGGACUAGACCCAACCUAUGAAUGUAGCAUAUUGAUCGUGUUGUUUUAUUGCUAUUGUUUUCUGCGUGUCAAGUAUUUGUUCCUAUGACCAUGAGAUCAUAUAACUCACUGGCACUGGAGGAAUACCUUGUGUGCAUCAAACGUCACAACGUAACUGGGCAACUAUAAAGGUGCUCUACAGGUAUCUCCGAAGGUGUCCGUUGAGUUAGUAUGGAUCAAGACUGAGAUUUGUCACUCCGUGUGACGGAGAGGUAUCUCGGGGCCCACUCGGUAAUACAACAUCACACACAAGCCUUGCAAGCAAUGUGACUAAGUGUAAGUCACGGGAUCUUGUAUUACGGAACGAGUAAAGAGACUUGCCGGUAACGAGAAUGAAAUAGGUAUGCGUAUACCGACGAUCAAAUCUCGGGCAAGUAACAUACCGAAGGACAAAGGGAAUGACAUACGGGAUUAUAUGAAUCCUUGACACUGAGGUUCAACCGAUAAGAUCAUCGGAGAAUAUGUAGGAUCCAAUAUGGGCAUCCAGGUCCCACUAUUGGAUAUUGACCGAGGAGUGCCUCGGGGCAUGUCUACAUAAUUCUCGAACCCGCAGGGUUUGCACACUUAAGGUUCGAUGAUGUUUUAGUAUAGUUGAGUUAUAUGUGUGGUUACCGAAUGUUGUUCGGAGUCCCGAUGAGAUCACAGACGUCACGAGGGUUUUCGGAAUGGUCCGGAAAUGAAGAUUGAUAUAUAGGAUGGUUUCAUUUGGUUACCGGAAGGUUUUUCGGGCAUUGUACCAUGAGUGACGAAUGGGUUCUGGAAGUUCAUCGGGAGGGGGGCAACCCACCCGGGGGAAGCCCAGUGGCUUUAGGGGUGGCGCACCAGCCCUUAGUGGGCUGGUGGGACAGCCCAAGAGGGCCUUGGCACCAAGAGAAGAAAACCAAAGAAAGAAAAAUAAAAGGGGGAGGUGGGAAGGAAGAGAGGGACUCCACUUUCUAAUCCUAAUUGGAGCAGGAUUCCUCCUCUCCUCCCUGGCCGGCCCAGCCUUGAGGGCUUGGCCCUCAAGGCAAGCCUCCUCCCCCUCCCUCCUAUAUAUAGUGGUGAUUUAGGGCUGAUUUAGAUAACUUUUGCCAUGUGCAACUCAGAUCUAGACACCAUAGUUCUUCCUCUAGAUCGUAUUUCUGCGGAGCUCGGGCGGAGCUCUGCAGGAGUAGAUCAUCACCACCACCGGAGCAUCGUCACGCUACCAGAGAACUCAUCUACUUCUCCAUCUUGCUUGCUGGAUCAAGAAGGCCGAGAUCAUCAUCGAGCUGUACGUGUGCUGAACGCAGAGGUGCCGUCCGUUCGACACUAGAUCGGAACGGAUCGCGGGACGGUUCAUGGGACGGUUCGCGGGGCGGAUCGAGGGACGUGAAGACGUUCCACUACAUCAACCGCGUUUCUUAACACUUCAUGUUGUGCGAUCUACAAGGGUACACAGAUCCAAAUCUCCUCUCGUAGAUGGACAUCACCAUGAUAGGUCUCAUGUGCAUAGGAAUUUUUUGUUUCCCAUGCAAUGUUUCCCAACAACUAGGUGUACGUGUGUGUGAUGAGCACAAACACCAGGAAUUUGACCUACAAGCAUUGUUGUUCGUAACCAUCAAUGAUUGGCCUGCUCUUAGUAACAUUUCAGGACAGUCAAACAAGGGAUACAAUGCAUGCACGUACUGUUUAGAUAAUACUAAAGGUACAUAUUUGAAAAAAUCUAAGAAGGUUGUCUACCUGGGGUGUCGUCAAUUUCUUCCGACCAAUCAUACCGUAAGAAAGAAAGACAAGCAUUUCAACGGUGAGGCAGAUCACCGGAAGAAGCCUAACCUCCCUACUGGUGAUGAGUUAUUGGCUAUGGUCAAGGAUUUGGAUCAAAUAGUAAUCUUUGGAAAGGGUCCUGGCGGUCAAUCUGUUCCGAAAGACGACAUUAACGGACACGUGCCCAUGUGGAAAAAGAAAUCUUUAUUUUGGGAGCUACCCUAUUGGAAACACCCAGAGGUCCGGUCUUCAAUAUACGUGAUGCACGUGACGAAGAAUCUUUGCGCGAACCUGCUAGGCUUCCUAGGAGUGUAUGGAAAGACAAAAGAUACAACAGAAGCACGGGAGGAGCAACAACGUAUGAAAGACCCAUACGACAAGAAGACUGAUAAAGUGCGUCAAUACUUAAGCAGCUACGCUCUUACCAAAGCAGAGAAGGAAAUAUUUUUUGAAUGCCUGAGCGGUAUGAAGGUCCCCGCUGGCUUCUCGUCUAAUAUAAAGGGAAUAAUAAAUAUGGCAGAGAAAAAAUUCCAGAACCUGAAGUCUCAUGAUUGCCACGUGAUUAUGACGCAGUUGCUUCCGGUUGCAUUGAGGGGGCUUCUAUCGGAAAAUGUUCGAUUACCCAUUGUGAAGCUAUGUGCAUUCCUCAAUGCAAUAUCUUAGAAGGUAAUCGAUCGAGAACUUCUGGAAAGGCUACAGAAGGAUGUGGUCCAAUGUCUUGUCAGUUUUGAGUUGGUGUUCCCCCCGUCCUUCUUCAAUAUUAUGACGCAUCUCCUUGUUCACCUAGUCAACGAGAUUUCCAUUCUCGGUCCUGUAUUUCUACACAAUAUGUUCCCCUUCAAGAGGUUCAUGGGAGUCUUACAGAAAUAUGUUCAUAACCGUGCUAGGCCAGAAGGAAGCAUCUCCAAGGGCUAUGGAACAGAGGAGGUCAUUGGGUUCUGUGUAGACUUUCUUCCUGACCUUAAGCCGAUUGGUGUUCCUGAAUCGCGGCAUGAGGGGAGACUAAGUGGAAAAGGCACACUAGGAAAUAAAGCAAUGAUAUAUAGGGACGGGCAUUCUUUCACUCAAGCACACUACACAGUUCUAAAAAGUUCCACCUUCGUGGCUUCAUAUAUCGAGGAGCACAAGAAUUUUGUACGCUCCGAGUUCCCGGGGAAGACUAUCUCCUGGAUUGAAGAAGAACACAUGGAUACAUUCAGUAGUUGGUUGCGAGCACGUCUGAAUUACAACACUGUUGGAGAUCAACUCUACUUGUUGGCCGCGUCACCUUCUUCGACUGUAUUACAUUUCCAAGGGUACGAGAUAAACGGGAAUACAUUUUACACGACCGCCCAAGAUAAAAAGAGCACCAACCAAAUCAGUGGUGUCCGCUAUGAUGCAACAGACGAGAAUGGGAAAAAGGACACAUACUAUGGUUACAUAGAGGAGAUAUGGGAACUAGACUAUGGACCUACUUUUAAGGUCCCUUUGUUUCGGUGUAGUUGGGUGAACAUGAAUGGAGAAGGGGUAAAGGUAGACCAGUUGUACGGAAUGACAACAGUUGAUCUCAAGAAUCUUGGUUACAGAGACAAGCCAUUCGUCCUAGCCAAUGACGUGGCUCAGGUUUUCUACGUGAAAGACAUGUCCUCCAGACCGAAAAAAGCAAAUGAAUACAUCGGACGAUGAGCCAAAGCAUCACAUAGUUCUUUCAGGGAAAAGAAACAUCGUUGGGAUCGAGGACAAGACAAACAUGUCAGCAGAUUAUAAUAAGUUAGAUGAAAUUCCGCCCUUCAUAGUGAGAAUUGACCCAAGCAUCCCGUUAAAUAAUGAAGAUGCUCCAUGGUUACGGCCAAAGCGAUCAUAGGCAAGGGAUCGAAGUAUAAAUCUAUGUAAUGUAUUAAACUUUAUGUGAUGUGUACUAACGUAUUAAACUUUAUGUGAUGUAUUAAAUUUUGUGUGAUGUGUACUACGAAGUGCAUCCAGUUUUUGCCGUAACCCUCUCAACUUUUUAGCACAUGCUAUUUGGGUGAAAUGAUGAUACAUGCCAACUUUCAACAUUUUCAGAGUUCAUUUGUAGUGCUUUUCAAUUUCAGGGUCAACUAGCUCAAAAAAAAGUAAAUGCACGAAAAAUAUCAAAUUAAGUCAGAAAUUAUUGAAAAUUUGUGAUGUACCUUUUAAUGGUGCAUUUUGAACACACAAAAAGUAUGGAGUUCAAAUAAGUUCAAAAAAAUGAAAUCCCUUUGUAACACAUGAGUUCUUGUUCGAAACCAUGAUACUUCGAGAGAGAUUGUCCGUUUUGUACACGAAGUGCAUCCAAUUUUUGCCGUAACCCUCUCAACUUUUUAGCACAUGCUAUGUGGGUGAAAUGAUGAUACAUGCCAACUUUCAACAUUUUUAGAGUUCAUUUGUAGUGCUUUUCAAUUUGAGGGUCAACUAGUUCAAAAAUAAUAAUUAAUGCACGAAAAAUAUCAAAUGAAGUCAGAAAUUGUUGAAAAUUUGUGAUGUGCCUUUGAAUGGUGCAUUUUGAACACACAAAAAGUAUGGAGUUCAAAUAAGUUCAAGAAAAUAAAAUCCCUUUGUAACAAAUGACUUCUCGUUCGAAAUCCUAAUACUUCGAGAGAGAUUGUCCGUUUUGUACACGAAGUGCAUCCAGUUUUUGACGUAACCCUCUCAACUUUUUAGCACAUUCUAUGUGGGUUAAAUGAUGAUACCAUGCCAACUUUCAACAUUUUCAGAGUUCAUUUGUAGUGCUUUUCAAUUUCAGGGUCAAUUAGCUCAAAAAAAUAAGAAAAUGCACGGAAAAUACCAAAUGAAUUCAAAAAUUGUUGAAAAUUUGUGAUGUGCCUUUGAAUGGUGUAUUUUGAACACACAAAAAGAAUGGAAUUCAAAUAAGUUCAACAAAAUAAAAUCCCUUUGUAACAGAUGAGUUUUUGUUCGAAACCCUGAUACUUUGAGAGAGAUUGUCCGUUUUGUACACGAAGUGCAUCCAGUUUUUACCGUAACCCUCUCAACUUUUUAGCACAUGCUAUGUGGGUGAAAUUAUGACCAUGCCAACUCUCAACAUUUUGAGAGUUCAUUUGUAGUGUUUUCCAAUUUGAGGGUCAACUUGCUAAAAAAAAAGUAAAUGCACGAAAAAUAUCGAAUGAAGUCAGAAAUUGUUGAAAAUUUGUGAUGUGCCUUUGAAUGGUGCAUUUUGAAGACAUAAAAAGUAUGGAGUUCUAAUAAGUUCAAAAAGAAAAUGAAAUCCCUUUGUAAGAGAUGAGUUCUCGUUCGAAACCAUGAUACUUCAAGAGAGAUUGUCCGUUUUGUACACAAAGUGCAUCCAGUUUUUGCCAUAACCCUCUCAACUUUUUAGCACAUACUAUGUGGGUGAAAUGAUGAUACCAUGCCAACUUUUAACAUUUUCAGAGUUCAUUUGUAGUGCUUUUCAAUUUGAGGGUCAACUUGCUCAAAAAAAAGAAGAAAAUGCACGGAAAAUACCAAAUGAAGUCGGAAAUUAUUGAAAAUUUGUGAUGUGCCUUUGAAUGGUGCAUUUUGAACACACAAAAAGUAUGGAGUUUAAAUAAGUUAAAAAAAUAAAAUCCCUUUGUAACAGAUGAGUUCUCGUUCGAAACCCUCAUACUUCGAGAGAGAUUGUCCGUUUUGUACACGAAGUGCAUCCAGUUUUUGCCGUAACCCUCUCAACUUUUUAGCACAUGCUAUGUGGGUGAAAUUAUUAUACCAUGGCAACUUUCAACAUUUUCAGAGUUCAUUUGUAGUGUUUUUCAAUUUCAGGGUCAACUAGCUCAAAAAAAAAAUGCAUAGAAAAUAUCAAAUGAAGUCAGAAAUUGUUGAAAAUUUGUUAAAAUAUUUAACAGAAAACAAAAAAAGAGCCAACUAAAAAGAAUCAACUAAAACAUUAACUAAAAUGAAUGAAUUAAAAACAAUCAACUGAAAUUAUCAAAGUGCUUAUUUGUUAAAAAGAAUCAAGUAAAUCAUUAACUAAAAAGAAACAAAAAAAGAUCAACUCAAAAGAUUUUUCAUAAAGUUUUUUGCUUAAAAUGUUUAAUAGAAAACUAAAAUAGAAGAGAAAAUAAAAUUGAAAAUAUAUGAGAAUUUAUAGAGAAAAUUCAACCUAAAUUUAAAGUGAGCUUACCCACUUUGAAUUUAGUUUGAAUUUUGUCUUUAAAUUCACAUAUAUUUUCAAUUUUUGAUAGGCGGCUCUUUCUGCUUGAUAGGCGCGAGCAUGUGCGGGAUUGGGCUCCGCCGGGAUGGCAUUGGGAGGAAUUACCUUCCGGGGCGCGCAGCUUGGUUAGGAACCAGGCUCCCAUCGUCGACCCGGAGCUUCUUUGGUGGCAGUCACGGGGGCCACUUUCGGUGCCUAGGUUGCCGACCCCCGAGGAGGACAUACAUCGCCAUGUCAGUGAGGAGGACGAGCACGUCCGUCGGCACAUGGAAGCGUUGGAUGCCAGGUUCUCCAGUACCUAGCAGGUUCUUCACGGAUCUCACCCGAGCUAUGAUCCCGUGAUGGUCCCUUCUCUUUGGCUGUCCACCGACCGCGCCUCAGUACAACGACGGCUCUUUGUUGGUUGAUCAGUUAUAUAUUAUUCGAUGUAUUACUGUAUUCGAGAGAUGUAUUAUUUAUGUAUUCCAGAUUAUAUAUUCGAUAAUAUUAAGUGGAUUAUUUGAUGAUGCAUUAAUUAAGUGGAUUAUUCGAUGAUGUUUAAUUAAUUUGUAGAUACUAUGGAUCCAAUACACGGCAGAGACGAAUAUCAGGAAGACGUGAUGCAUGGUGUCAUCCACGGGGAUGAUAUUUUAGUUCGCGAUGUCGAUGUCACCAAUCAGUUUCUGAACGAGUCCAGCGAGGGAGAUGAGUCUCUCAACACAUGAGGUAGAAGCUCCGGUGAGGUAGCGCCCACGCCUCGGGCGAGGGAGGAAUCAGCGGCUCCAAUGAGGAAGAAGCUGACAAGGGAGAAGCCGACCGCUCCGGCGAGGUGCAUAUAUAUAUAUAAUUAAUAAAUUAAUCCUCUGCUGUCUAUAUACAUAUAUUAACGCUCUUUAUUUUAGCCCUCCGGAUCGAGAAAAUCUUCAGUACGGAAGAAACGAGGCCCAACCAAGAAGCUGGAUGACAGUGAGAGAUACAGGAUCGAAACAGUCUCAAAUGCCGGGCAACCAAUUGCUCCCACAGAUGUAAAGCAUAAGUUUGUGAAGGUAUGCGGAGUUGUUGUUAGGGACCACAUCCCUAUCACCACUCGAGAAUGGAUUAAGACAAGGGAGGAAGGAGUCUCAUAUAUCGUCACAACAGCCAAAGAAAACCUUUGAAGAAAGCUCAUGCUUCAUUUCACCCUGCCGGCGCGAGAGGUGGAUCCAGAUGAGGAUGAGCCAAAUGAGGAGGAAAUGAAUAGGCGAAAAUAGGCCCUAGAGAAAAAAAGUCAAGGAGUGGGCUGUGAAUAAGAUGGACGAUCUAUUCAGGGUCUGGAAAAAAAUCGCACCAGGAUUUUAUCUUGAAAGAUAAGACUCCAGAUUUUGAUCACGGCUAUGAGAAUAUUAAAGACUACUGGACCGAAUUUGUGGCGUACAAGAAAUCAGAGGACGCCUUGAAAAAGUGUGAAACAAAUAGGAUGGAUGCAGGUAAGAAGAAAUACCACCAUAUUAUGGGGACUGGUGGGUACAUCGCUAAGAUGGCUAAGUGGGAAGGACUUGAGGCAUCAUUUGUGGACAAAAAUAUUACUCCAGAGCCCUUAAGAUGGCUCGAACGGGCAAUAAAAUGGUUUUACGGGCAUGAGGGCUUGUUGGACGCAGACAAUAUAUAACCAAAGACACAAAGAUAAUCCCCUACCCAUCGAGGAGAUUAGACAUGCAGUACAAGAUGUUGAAGAGGGACGAUUCUUACUCGAUAGAGAGAACGACGAGCUCACACGCGCCCUUGGGAAUAAGGAACACAAAGGGCGAGCAAGAGUCUUACCAGGCUCCCCGCCAUGGAUUCUUGCGUUCUCCGAGGAAAGGAAGAGAUUUCCCGAUAGAAGCCAUCAAAGGAGAAAGGAAAAAGAGGCACGUGAUAAAGCGGCUGAGGCAGACCGAGUGCAUAAUCUAGAAGAAGUAGUAAAGCGGCUGUAGCAGGAUCAAAUCGACAGACAACAAGGUAGCGGCAAUCUUAGCGGCUCAUGAUAGAAGCUGCAUCGAAUCGGAAAAGCAGUGUCGCUGCCAUGCAACUCUAGGAUGAGGGUGAUGAUGUACUAACGACGGAUCCUCCUCGUCGCUACCCAGUGGAUGAUAUCACAUAGAGCACACCUUGUCAGCUAAAGGUGAACCUUGCUAACUUAAGGUUAACGGUGGCGGUUGAUGACCCACAAGUAUAGGGGAUCAAUCGUAGUCCUUUCGAUAAGUCAGAGUGUCGAACCCAACAAGGAGCAGAAGGCUGUGAUAAACGGAUUUCAGCAAGGUAAUAACUGCAAGCACUGAAAGUAGCGGUAACAAGUGAUUUGUGUAGCGAGGUGAUACGUAGCCAGCAAAGAGUAACAAGUAACAAGUAGUAGCAACGGUGCAACAAGUGGCCCAAUCCCUUUUGUAGCAAGGGACAAACCUGAAUAAAGUCUUAUAGGAGGAAAAACGCUCCCNNNNNNNNNNNNNNNNNNNNNNNNNNNNNNNNNNNNNNNNNNNNNNNNNNNNNNNNNNNNNNNNNNNNNNNNNNNNNNNNNNNNNNNNNNNNNNNNNNNNNNNNNNNNNNNNNNNNNNNNNNNNNNNNNNNNNNNNNNNNNNNNNNNNNNNNNNNNNNNNNNNNNNNNNNNNNNNNNNNNNNNNNNNNNNNNNNNNNNNNNNNNNNNNNNNNNNNNNNNNNNNNNNNNNNNNNNNNNNNNNNNNNNNNNNNNNNNNNNNNNNNNNNNNNNNNNNNNNNNNNNNNNNNNNNNNNNNNNNNNNNNNNNNNNNNNNNNNNNNNNNNNNNNNNGAUAGUUUGAUAUGUGGAUGGACCGGCGCUUGGGUACUGCCCUUACUUGGACAAGAAUGCCACUUAUGAUUAACCUCUCUCGCAAGCAUACACAACUACGAAAGAAGAAUUAAGACAAAUCUAACCAUAGCAUUAAACUAGUGGAUCCAAAUCAGCCCCUCACGAAGCAACGCAUAGACUGGGGUUUAAGCUUCUGUCACUCCAGCAACCCAUCAUCUACUUACUACUUCCCAAUGCCUUCCUCUAGGUCCAAAUAUGGUGAAGUAUUAUGUAGGCGACGUUCACAUAACACCACUAGAGGAAAAACAACAUACAUCAUAAUAAAAUACCGAAUGAAUAUCAAAUUCACAUGACUAUCAUUAACAUGACUUAUCCCAUGUCCUCAGGAACAAAAGUAACUACUCACAAGACAUAAUAAAAAUCAUGACCAGAGGUGUAAUGAAUAGCAUCAAGGAUCUAAACAUAAACUCUUCCACCAAGUAAUCCAACUAGCAUCAACUACAAAGAGUAAUCAACACUACUAGCAACCUUACAAGUACCAAUCGGAGUCGCGAGACGAAGAUUGAUUACAAGAGAUGAACUAGGGAUUGGAGACGAGAUGGUGCUGAUGAAGAUGUUGAUGAAGAUGCCUCCCCUCCGAUGAGAGGAGUGUUGGUGAUGACGAUGGCGACGAUUCCCCCCUCCGGGAGGGAAGUUUCCCCGGCAGGAUCGUCCUGCCGGAGCUCUAGAUUGGAUCUGCUCAAGUUCCGCCCCGUGGCGGCGGCGAAACCACGAAAAAGCUCCCCUAUGAUUUUUCCGAGGUCAGGACGCAUCUUAUAGCAAAAGAGGGGGGCUAGUGGGCCAGUGGGCUGCCCACAAGCUUGCCCACCGCCACCAGGGGGGUGGUGGCGGAGUGGGGGCUUGUGGGGCCCUGGUGCCCCCCCUCCGGUUGUUCUUCCGCCCAUUAUUUUUAAUAUAUUCCAGAAAAAAUCCACCUAAAUUUUCAGGGCAUUUGGAGAUGUGCAAAAUAGUGGACUAGGAUUUGCUCCUUUUACAGUCCAGAACUCCAGCUGCCUGAAUUGUCCCUCUUCAAAUAAUCCUUGCAAAAUAAGAGAGAAAAGGCAUAAAUAUGGUACCACAAGUAAUAUAACAGCCCCAAAAGCAAUAAAUAUCAACAUGAAAGCAUGAUGCAAAAUGGACGUAUCAGUGUUCCAGCUCAAGAGGUAAAUGACAGGCCUUACCGUAAACCAUUUUAUACGGUGACAUGUCCAUGGGAUUCUUAUAAGCAGUCCUAUAAGCCCAUAGUGCAUCAUAAAGUUUGCUAGACUAGUUCUUUCGAGAUCUAUUGACGGUCUUUUGUAAGAUCAACUUGAUCUCCCUAUUACUCAACUCCACUUGACCACUAGACUGAGGAUGAUAAGGAGAUGCAACUCUAUGGUUGUCAUCAUACUUAGCUAGCAUCUUGCGGAAAACACCAUGAAUGAAGUGUGAACCGCCAUCAGUCAUCAAGUAUCUAGGGACUCCAAAUCUUGGGAAUAUAAUCAAAGCCCCACACAUCAAAUGGUUCAAUGACAAGUGAAUAGUUCAUAGGCAUCUCUUGACGCUUACUGAUGUUCCCUAUCCUUUGGCAUUCGUCACAAGACAAGACAAACUUACGAGCAUCCUUGAAGAGAGUGGGCCAAUAGAAACCUGAUUGCAAUACCUUAUGGGAAGUUCUAUCUCUAGCAUGGUGUCUUCCAUAGGCUUCGGAAUGACACUUCUGCAAGAUCUGCCCUGUUCAUGUUCAGACACACAACGUCUAAUAACACCAUGUGCUCCUUCCUUAUAAAGGUGAGGAUCAUCCCAAAAAUAGUGUCUCAAAUCAAAGAAGAAUUUCUUCUUUUGCUGAUAGGUGAAACUGGGUGGUAUGUAUUUGGCUACGAUAUAGUUUGCAUAAUCGGCAUACCAUGGUGCACUAAGUGAAGUGCCGAUGGCAUUUAGUUGCUCAUCCGGAAAGCUGUCAUCAAUAGGUAGUGGGUCAUCAAGGACAUUCUCUAGCCUAGACAAGUUAUCUGCUACAGGGUUAUCAGCACCCUUUCGGUCAACGACGUGCAAAUCAAAUUCCUGUAGCAGGAGAACCCAUCUGAUCAGCCUAGGCUUAGCGUCCUUCUUCUCCAUGAGGUACUUAAUAGCAGCAUGAUCAGAGUGAAUAGUGACUUUGGAGUCAACUAUAUAAGAUCUGAACUUUUCACAUGCAAACACGACUGCUAAAAAUUCCUUCUCCGUAGUGGCAUAGUUUCUUUGGGCACUGUCUAGAGUUUUACUAGCGUAGUGAAUGACAUUCAACUUCUUGUCAACUCUUUGUCCUAGAACAGCACCAACAGCGUAAUCACUAGCGUCACACAUGAUUUCAAAGGGCAAGUUCCAGACAGGUGGUUGAACAAUAGUUGCAGUUAUCAAAGCCUUCUUCAGUAUUUCAAAGGCUUCCUCACAAUCCUCAUCAAAAACAAAAGGAACAUCCUUCUGCAAGAGGUUGGUAAGAGGCCUAGAAAUCUUAGAGAAGUCUUUAAUGAACCUUCUAUAGAAACCAGCAUGACCUAAGAAACUUCGUAUACCUCUAAUAUCUGUAGGGCAAGGCAUUUUCUCAAUUGCAUCAACCUUAGCCUUAUCAACUUCAAUGCUUCUCUCAGAAAUUUUGUGUCCUAAGACGAUACCUUCAUUAACCAUAAAGUGGCACUUCUCCCAAUUCAAGACGAGGUUGGUUUCUUCGCAUCUCUCUAAGACUCGAUCAAGGUUGCUGAGGCAAUCAUCAAAGGAAGACCCGUAAACGGAGAAGUCAUCCAUGAAAACCUCGAACAAUCUUUUCACAAAAGUUAGAGAAUAUAGCCAUCAUACAUCUUUGGAAGGUGGCAGGUGCAUUACAUAAGCCAAAAGGCAUACAUCUAUAGGCAAAGGUACCGAAAGGGCAGGUGAAAGUGGUUUUCUCUUGAUUAGAUUGUGCAACAGGUAUUUGCGAGAAACCUGAAUAACCGUCUAGAAAGCAGAAGUGUGUGUGCUUUGAUAGCCUUUCUAGCAUUUGGUCGAUGAACGACAAAGGAUAAUGAUCUUUCCUGGUUGCCUUGUUCAGUUUGCGGAAAUCUAUCACCAUUCUAUAGCCGGUAAUAAUCCUUUGUGGGAUUAGUUCAUCCUUAUCAUUAGGAACGACGGUGAUACCUCCCUUCUGAGGUACGCAAUGUACUGGACUUACCCAAUCACUAUGAGCAACAUGAUAAAUGAUUCCUGCUUCCAGAAGCUUUAAUAUUUCUUUUCUAACAACCUCUUUCAUCUUAGGAUUUAAUCUCCUUUGAUGAUCAGCAACUGGUUUAAAGUCAGGAUCGGUUUUAAUCUUGUGGUGACAUAGAGUAGGACUAAUACCCUUAAGAUCAUCAAGAGUAUAUCCAAUAGCAGCGUGGUGCUUCCUCAGAGUUUUUAAUAACUUCUUCUCUUCACGCUCUGAGAGGAGAGCACUAAUAAUGACAUGAUAUAUCUCCUUCUCAUCAAGAUAGGCAUACUUAAGAGUAUCAAGCAACUGGUUAAGCUCGAACACAGGAUCACCCUUCGGUGGGGGAGGAUCCCCAAGCAGUUCAACACACAGAUUAUUCUUGAGAAUAGGAUAUUGUUCUAAGACAAUUUUAUCUAUCUCAUCUCUCUCCUCCAUAUGCAUAUCAUUUUCAUGCUCAAGCAGAUAUUGCUCUAAAGGAUCCGUAGGAGGUACGGCAAUAGAGGCAAGAGCAAUGAUUUCAUCCCUACCAGAUGACUCUCUUUCAUGGGGUUGUCUUCCAAACUUGGAGAAGUUAAAUUCAUGAGACACACCCUCGAAACUAACUGUGAUGGUCUGCUUAAUGCAAUCAUUGUGAGCAUUGACAGUGUUGAGAAAGGGUCUACCAAAUAUGAUGGGACAAAAGCUAUCUUGUGUAGUACCAAGGACGAGGAAAUCAGUAGGAUACUUCGUCUUACCACACAAGACUUCUACGUCUCUCACAAUUCCCAGAGGGCAGAUAGUGUCUCUAUGAGCUAGCGUAAUAGUGACAUCAAUGGGUUCUAACUCAGCAGGUGCAAUCUCAUCUUUGAUUUCAUCAUAUAGAGAACGGGGUAUUGCACUAACACGAGCUCCCAUAUCACAUAAACCAUGGUAACAGUGAUCUCCUAUCUUAACAGAAACAACGGGCAGGCCAACUACAGGUCCGUGUUUGUCUUUCGUGUGAGGUUUAGCAAUUCUAGCGGAGUCCUCACAGAAUUUUAUAACAUGCCCAUCUAUGUAUUCGGCUAAGAGAUCUUUGAUAAUAGAAACACUAGGUUCAACUCUAAUCUCUUCAGGGGGUGCAAGUGGUCUAAUGUAACCCCUACGUAUCACAGUUGGAGCCUUAGAAUAAUCCUUUAUCCUAGCAGGGUAUGGUGGUUUCUCAGUGUAAGCACAAGGAACAACAGGAUCACUAAAAGUUAUGAUUUUCUCCUUAACUAGAUUGGUUUUGGCUAUGUUGCUUUCUACAGGAGGAUGAUAUUUAAACCACUUAUCUUUGGGAAGAUCAACAUGAGCAGCAAAAGAUUCACAUAGAGAAGCUACUAUCUCAGAGUCAAGUCCAUACUUAGCGCUAAAAUCUCUAGAAGUGUUUGUCUCAACAAAAGAUUUAACGCAAUCAAACUGGAAAUUCAUACCUGACUCCUUACCUUCCUCCAGCUCCCAAUCUUCAGAGUUGCGCUUGAUUCUCUUCAAUAAAUUCCACUUGUGAUCAAUAUCCUUCUUCAUAAAAGAACCGACACAAGAAGUGUCAAGCAUGGUACGAUCUUCAUGAGAAAGCCGAGCAUAAAAGUUUCGAGUGAUGAUUUCUCUCGAGAGCUCAUGAUUGGGGCAUGAAUAUAGCAUUGAUUUAAGCCUCCCCCAAGCUUGAGCUAUGCUUUCCCUGUCACGAGGCCAAAAUUUAUAAAUAAAGUUCCGAUCACGAUGUACUAAAUGCAUAGGAUAGAACUUUUGAUGAAAUUCCAAUUUCAACCGAUUGUAGCCCCAUGAUCCAAUAUCAUCACAUAGCCUAUACCAUGUCAACGCCUUAUCCUUCAAAGAUAAAGGAAAGACUUUCUUCUUUACCUCAUCCUCGGGCAAACCUGCAAGCUUAAAUAAACCACAAACUUCAUCUACAUAGAUUAGACGCAAGUCUGGAUGUGAAGAUCCAUCUCGUGUAAAAGGAUUAGCCAACAGUUUCUCAAGCAUACCCGAAGGAAUUUCAUAAAAUAUAUUUUUAGUAGGUACCUCAGGUUGAGGAGAAACUCCUCGUGCUUCCGUUCGUGGUGAAGAUACCCCGAACAAACUACUCAAAGGAAGAGUUUCCAUAGUGACAAGUGACAAUAAAUUUUAGCACAUUAUAAAUAUGUUUCCUUACCAAUUUCCACUUACCAAAGGCGCUUCACUCCCCGGCAACGGCGCCAGAAAAUAUUCUUGAUGACCCACAAGUAUAGGGGAUCAAUCGUAGUCCUUCCUAUAAGUAAGAGUGGCGAACCCAACAAGGAGCAGAAGGCUCUCAUAAACGGAUUUCAGCAAGGUAAUAACUGCAAGCACUGAAAGUAGCGGUAACAAGUGAUUUGUGUAGCGAGGUGAAACGUAGCAAGCAAAGAGUAACAAGUAACAAGUAGUAGCAACGGUGCAGCAAGUGGCCCAAUACCUUUUGUAGCAAGGGACAAACCUGAACAAAGUCUUAUAGGAGGAAAAACGCUCCCGAGGACACACGUGAAUUUCUGUCAUGCUAGUUUCAUCAUGUUCAUAUGAUUCGCGUUCGUUACUUUGAUAGUUUGAUAUGUGGGUGGACCGGCACUUGGGUACUGCCCUUACUUGGACAAGCAUCCCACUUAUGAUUAACCUCUCUCGCAAGCAUCCGCAACUACAAAAGAAAAAUUAAGACAAAGUCUAACCAUAGCAUUAAACUAGUGGAUCCAAAUCAGCCCCUCACGAAGCAACACAUAGGCUGGGGUUUAAGCUUCUGUCACUCCAGCAACCCAUCAUCUACUUACUACUUACCAAUGCCUUCCUCUAGGCCCAAAUAUGGUGAAGUGUUAUGUAGUCGACAUUCACAUAACACCACUAGAGGAAAAAACAACGUACAACAUAACAAAAUACCUAAUGAAUAUCAAAUUCACAUGACUAUUAUUAACAUGACUUAUCCCAUGUCCUCAGGAACAAAAGUAACUACUCACAAGACAUAAUCAUAAUCAUGACCAGAGGUGUAAUGAGUAGCAUCAAGGAUCUGAACAUAAACUCUUCCACCAAGUAAUCCCACUAGCAUCAACUAUAAAGAGUAAUCAACACUACUAGCAACCUUACAAGUACCAAUCGGAGUUGCGAGACGAAGAUUGGUUACAAGAGAUGAACUAGGGGUUGGAGAGGAGAUGGUGCUGAUGAAGAUGUUUAUCAAGAUGCCUCCCCUCCGACGAGAGGAGUGUUGGUGAUGACGAUGGCGACGAUUUCCCUCUCCGAGAGGGAAGUUUCCCCGGCAGGAUCGUCCUGCCGGAGCUCUAGAUUGGAUCUGCUCAAGUUCCGCCUCGUGGCGGCGGCGAAACCACGAAAAAAAGCUCCCUGUUGAUUUUUUCCAGACCAGGAUGCUUCAUAUAGCAAAAGAGGGGGGCUAUUGGGCCUUCAGGCAGCCCACAAGCUUGCCCACCGCCACCAGGGGGGUGGUGGCAGAGUGGGGGUUUGUGGGGCCCUGGUGCCCCCCUCCGGUAGUUCUUUCGCCCAGUAUUUUUAAUGUAAUUCAUUAAAAAUCCACGUAAAGUUUCAGGGCAUUUGGAGAAGUGCAGAAUAGUGGACUAGGAUUUGCUCCUUUUCCAGUCCAGAAUUCCAGCUGCUUGAAUUCUCCCUCUUCAAAUAAUCCUUGCAAAAUAAGAGAGAAAAGGCAUAAAUAUAGUACCACAAGUAAUAUAACAGCCCAAAAAGCAAUAAAUAUCAACAUGAAAGCAUGAUGCAAAAUGGACGUAUCAGCGGUCGGCAUGGCCAUACCAAUUGGACGUAAUCCAACUUGGCAUUGCUCUCCGGUUCCACAAGGGUACGCUGUCGUCACGGUGGAUGAAGUGAUGAAAUAUUAUGAGGAGCUGAAGCUCGACCACCCUGCAGGUGAAGAUAGGGAUUUGACUCAACUUGGAGAAGUCAAGAAACAAACCGUUGUAUGGCCAAAGGAAGACAUCUUCCUUCCAAAUUGGACGCCAAGGCCACCGACUCCUCAUAGCAGCAAUCCUUCUUCGCCUCCACCUCACCGGUCUCCAGCGCAACCGUCGUCUUCGCCGCCUCACCAAUAUCCAGCGCAACCGUCGUCUUCGCCGCCUCACCAGUCCCCAGCGCAGCCGUCUUCACCGCCGCAUCAGCCGUCUCCACCGCCCCGUCAGCCGUCUCCAUCCACUGGGGAUCAGAGCAAAAAGCGGAAACAUACCCCACUAGUAGUGGCGGCAUAAAGGGGAUCCGAUCACCAAAACGUAAGUUGUCGCCCCUCCCAAAAGUACCUCAUAAGAAUAUGGUGAAGAGACCUUGGGACUAUACUAGAGAGGACAAUAUUAAGAGGGCAGACGCCCAUCAUGAACAGUGGAAGGCUCAAGUGGCUAACAAGAAUAAACCGAAAGAGCUAGAGUACCCGACCACCCCAGAAGAUCACGCCGCGUGCGUGAAAAUGCUGAAAAACCUUGCAGAUCCCACGCCACCGUUGCCAGCAGACUAUGAACGCUCUAUUAUCAAGUCGACUCAGGCAAAAAAACAGCGGUUGAAGAGUAGUACGUCCAGCGGGAAAUCAGUUGCCCAACUCGGACAACAGAAAAACCAAUCGCGCCCCCCCGCUCAGAGUGUAUUCCGAUACAAAUGUGUGCUCGAGCGGAGCUGCAGUCCAUCAGAGGAAUGAUGAAACAGCUGACAUCGAUCCGGAAUUUCUUGCACAAUACGGAGAAGCGGCCAAGGCUCAAGGCAUGUCUAUUGAUGAGUACUUAAACCAUUUGGAGGUAUUCACUGACGUAGAAUACACGUACUGGUAUGUGCGUCCUCUGGUCAAAUCUGAGUUAGUCAACGAGCUACCAACAAAAAUGCAAAGAUUGCAUGACUGGUACAUGCAAGCAUGUGAUAAACAGAAAAACUGGAUCUACGUUGCAUAUGAAGACGAGCAUUUCGGGACUGGACGAGGCGUGAUUAUGAUUGAAUUCGACGAAUUAUUUCAGUUAUACAAACAAGACGCCCUCGACAAAUCUAUCAUCAGUGCCUAUUGUUUGUAUGUAUUAUUAAUUUAUGUCAUGAAGUCUUACUCAUCUCGUUCUUGCAUGUAUAAUCUUACUCAUCACUAUAUUAAUUUUGCAGAAUGAAGAUUCUCGAAUGCAAAACAGGACAAAUCUAUGACAUUGAGUUCAUUGACCCAUAUUACAAUCAUCACCAAAGUGUCGAAACGACUCCCCGCGAGACAGAGAAUAACUUGGUACAAGGGUUAAGGUUUUGCAGUACCAAAAGGGAAAUACUAUUUCCUUACAACUUCAAGUGAGUGUUACUAUACACACAUUCUAUUUUCACUUACUCGAUGUUAUUAUAAGUGUACAUAUAAUUGACUCGUUAUGCGCGCGUAGGUUCCACUUUAUUUUGUUAAUUAUUGUACCCAACGAGGGACAAGUAAUAGUCAUGGACCCGAAACGCACACCCAUCCUUGAAUGGACGAACAUGCAGGAAUGCCUCCAGAGGCAAUUUCAAUCAUUAUGACACUAUAUCGGCAACUUCUCGUUCAUUUCCUGAUAGCAAGGAAUUAAUAUAGAACUCCUUUAUUGAUUUCAUUUUCUUGGCAGGGUUUGGAAACGGUUCACCGCCAAGGCUCGAGGUGAUUGGAAGCCAGAGCUUACAUUUAAACAAAUAUAUGUAAGUAACUACUAGCUAGAUCCGCGCAUCUCUUUAUUCUAGUUUCAAUACCAUUAUAAUUCUUGAUUAUGUUUUUGAUUGAACUCUGUUCUCGUAAAGUGCUUGAGGCAGGAACACGUGAACAAUUUAUGUGGAUACUAUGUUUGCGAGUUCAUUCGCCACAUGACCCAUCAGAAGGGCAAAACCCGGGACAUAAAAAAAAUCGAAGUACGAUAAACAAUACUCACAGCUUUAUUUUAUUACCAUGAAUUGUGUUCGGUUUCAUUGAUAUAUAUAUAUAUUGACCCAUUCUUUAAAUUAGAUCGAACGGUUACGGGACGGUCUUCUACCACAGGAACGUGUACGAGCAAUUCAAGAGGAAAUUGCUGGAUUCUUUGAUGCAGAGGUCCUAGAUCCCAAGGGAGAAUACUAUUGCCAUUCGAUGGAUAAGAUAUGAAAUGAUAGUGUAAAAAAGAUGCAUAUAUGUGCAUGUAACUCGUGUCUACAUUUUGUAAAUACGUUCAACAAAGCACGACAUAUGAGAUGGUGUAAUAUAUUCAUGACGAUGUGCAAUAUAGUUGUUCCUUUAUUGUUUUGUAUGUACAAUCCAAUUUAGUGCAAAACAAAAAUUAAAAAAUGCCCAAAACAAAUAAAUGGGAAAAUAGAGGGCAACAAAAUAGCCUCAUCCAAUUCAGUGCAAAAUCCUAAACCCAAAAAUUGCUUUAAAAAACAGCGAAGAAAUAGCCCCGGUUCGCAAUACGAACCGGGACUAAUACCCCUCCCCCUCGCUCCCAGCCCCCUCACGUGGAAGGCCAUUAGCCCCGGUUCGGGACCGAACCGGUGCUAGCAUUAGUCCCGGUUGAUUAGUCCUGGUUCGCGAACCGGGACUAAUGGCCCAACCGAACUGGGGCUGAAGGUCCUUUUUCUACUAGUGUAUGGAUAUGAUGUACGUAUUUGCGUUCAUAGGGUUGAGUGUAUGCACGUUAUAUGAGCAUUUACGUCUGUACUGUUAAAAAAAGCAGUUGUGACUUACACAAAUAUCAAUUACGUUUUAACUCUGAAACUUGAUAGAGUUACAAAAGACUAAGAAAAUUUUAAAUUUCACAUGCAAAAUCAUACUCCCUUCGUUUUUAAAUGUUUUUUUAAUAUUUACUAAAUGAAUACAUACGAAUAUAUAUAUAGACAUAUUUUAAAGUAUAGGUUCACUUAUUUUGUUUCGUAUGUAUUUUUUUAAUAAAAUAUCAAAAAAUUAUAUUUAGAAAUAAAGGGAGUAAGUUUCAAACAUCCAAACUUAAACUAUUUUAUGAAUCACGAGGCAAUCAGAUGGCCGAGCCGGGAUGGUCCUCCGUUUCAUCAUCAAUCAAAAGAAGGAAAAAUAGCUGUCGAUGCUUUCUGUGCUUGCAUCAUGUCCGGACGUUGCCUGAAGGAGAGGAGCCUACCUCGGCGCAAAUCCGUGCUCGUCCACCGCUCAAUGAUGCGUGGCAUAUACGCCGGCCGUAGCUUAGUUAUAGCUAGGGGAAUGAAAUUCCCAUUCCCGGCCCAGGCAGGCUAGCUCUAUCGGCCACUCGUCACGGCCGGAGACACGGAGAUCAAGCUGCUUCAAAAGCGGUAGAUCAGCCACGGUACGUGUUCCUCGGGGAGGAAGGGCCCGGCACGGACGUGUUCCUCGUGUCUCCCCCCUGCUUGUCGCGCACUAUAGACACCUAAGCUUCGCCUAUUUGCGCGCAUUGCUUACUGCACCGGCGACCCGUAUGAGUUAUGCUAACAGUAUCAUAUAAUAACAUCAUGCAUAAAAUAUUAUAUAAGUUUUUAAGAGAUUUUACUAGGGGUCUACAUACGAAGCAAAAUGAGUGAAUAUACACACUAAAGUAUGUCUAUAUACAUCCGUAUGUAGUCUACUAGUGGAAUCUCUAGAAAGACUUAUAUUUAGAAAAGGAGGAAGUAUUAUAUGAUUCUGUUUUUAUAAAGUAUAGUAUCAUAAACUAGUAUCAUAGAUGAUCUUAUUUAUUAAAUGUAUGUUACAUAGUAGAAUAACAUUUAAUAUUAUACGAUAUUUAUCUAUGUUACUAUAACCUUUUUUUUAAUUAUUUGUCACAUCAACAUGUCUGUUAGACCCAAAUGCAUGAUACUAGCUAUGAUACCUUUACUAUGACCAGCCUUAGAAUCUCGAAUCUCCAAGAAAAAUCAUACUACCUAGUUUAAUGGUCCCUCGUAAUCUAGAUCAUAUUUUAAUUAUGAUUUUAAUCAUUAUUCAAAAAAUCGCUAGACUCAGCGAUUUAUCGUCCGAUUUAUCGCUACUCAUGGGUGAUCGAUAAAUUUAUGCCUUAUCUUUAUCGUUUAUCUUUUGAGCCGAUUUAUUACUCUGACAAGCGAUUUAGCGAAAAUCUUCCGAUAAAUCAAGCCUAUUUCUAGCACUAUGUUUGUAAAAAUUAUGUUUAUUUGUGAUUUUUUGAACUUUGUUAUACAGUAUGUAAUAUUUCUUUAUUCUGUUUGUCAUUAUACGAGGAUUUGGAUACUAGGAAUCAAGGUAACACUUCUCUUCAAUAUAUUUUUGAUGUUAAAUAUAGCAUGUUUCAGUAUUGAAACCUGAAAUUUACAAAAAUAAUAAUUGAUUAAUAGUCAACCGAUAAAAUAGAUUAAUCGGCUGACUAAUUUCUAAUCCCCGGUUGACUGAGACGAUAACGAUAAGCGAUAUCUUUAAUAUUUUUAACUAAUAAAAUAUAAAUCAUACAUAAAUCAUACCACCUACGUCCUGAAAGGGGUGUCACCCCGGUUGGAAAAAACCCUACGUCCUGGUUUACUUGGAAAUCUCGCAAUGAUUUGUCGCUGCGGCAGGAGUUGGAUCGCCGCUAGCAAGUGAUGGAGAUCAGGAUGACAGCAGCCCCCGCAAAUGGUAGCAAGACACUACACGGAGGAUCGAACGGCUUCGGUUUUCUUGUUCUGCCGUAGUCUAGUGUGGCCCGGUUCGACGAGACUUCUAUGCCGCUCGAGCGUCGCCUCUAUUUUUUCCUUUAUGCAGCUACGAACCUAAUCACCGGAAGAUAUCAUCAAAUCGUGUCUCUUGUAUCAAAAUCAAACCAGCCAAUGAAGUCCACGGGAGGUGCGCGCGGCAUAUAGACAUGUUGCCUCAUGUCGACCAAUCGAUCUCAGCUUAUCCUCGAAAGGAAACACGGCGAAAGGGAGCCUCCACUACUUGGCGCGCUAGGUUAGCUGCUCGCUUAUCUCCCGCCUCUUUUCGCAGGGGAUAACGUCGCACUUGGAUUAGAAAAUGGGAUCCUGCUCCCUCUCCGUAUCCUCUCCCGAUCGAUGGGUCUCUCGUCUUUUCGCACGGCUAGAAAUGCUGCUUCAUUUAUACCUUACCUAUCUAGAAAGGUAGCAUCGAUGGAUCGGUUGGGCAGGAGGCUCGAGCGUGCAUGCAUGUGACAGAUCACUGGUAAGAUCGGCGGGAUCACGGAGGUGUUACCCUAGCUAGCUUGAUCGAGUCCUGAGUCUUGACGCAAUGAUCAUUCGCUGCAAAUUGUAUACAUAUAGAAGCCUAGAUAUAUCAACUUGUGCUUCCCACUGGCCGUAAAGCAAAGCAAACCUGAUCGAUCACUACAGGCUUGGUAGAUCGAGAAGCCGCACGAAAGAAAGAAAACAUUGUUAGUGCCUCAUCAGUUAGUUCCGACUUCCGAGAGAUGCCGGCCGGCCGCGACAUCGAUCUUUGAGAACGACGGCUGCACUAGUUGAGGAUACGGCAUGCGCGCUCCUCCUGUUCAACCAGUGGACAGUGGUGUCGUGCGUAUAGCAUAGAGAGUCUUGUGUCAAACACUGUCCAUUGAUCAACCCUACCGGCCCCUACUAUGAGGGUUCAAAGUACAUUUGAUGGUGAAUGGUCUCCAGCUCUUUCUUUACCGGAAAUCCAAUUCAAUCAGUUCCACUAUUCAGAUGCCAGAUUCAACAUAGCUCCAUGUUUGAACUGUUUUCUUUUCGUAGGAGCACAAAGAUGGUCGCACUCGCACGCAACUCCACGCAAAUACUAAAAGAUGCAGGCCGGCAAACUGAGCAUGGCUCAAAUGGUUAGUUCUUUUUAUGAUGUAACCAGUCUAUCAAGAUAAAGUCCUAGACUUAGCACUCGUGUUCCCAUUUUUUAAAUUUAUUUUAGCCUUUUGAGUGAUGUUUGUUCAGCCGAAGGAAAAGUUCCAGUCGACUAUAAAGGUGUCAGCGGUAAGGUCGUCAAUCUCAAGAUGUUGUGCUGGCUAAGUAUUUCGACGGCAUGGCAGGCUAUCCAGCAUGGCCUUGAGCUCCUGAAAAAGGGUAUCAUCUGACGGGUUGGAAAUGGCCAGGACAUUCACAUAUGGCGGGACCGUUGGCUGCUGCGCGAACCCUCCUGCUGACCCAUCACUCAGUAGGGGACCUGCCGCAUAUGACGGGUGGCUGAGCUCCUUGACACUCAAGGCUCUUGGCGCACCGACUUACUUCCAGCCACCAUUCCUGCGGGUAGAUAUUGCCGUCAUCACCUACAUCAGGACUUCACCGCACAUCACCGAUGAUAUCAUCGCAUGGGCGCUGGAGAAGAACUAUGUCUUCACCAUUCGAUCCGUGUACCAUCUGACAAUGGAUGAGCGCGAGCGUCCAUUGGUACGGCAUGCACGCUCCUCUUGUUCAACCAGUGGACAGUGGUGUCGUGCGUAUAGCAUAGAGAGUCUCGUGUCAAACACUGUCCAUUGAUCAACCCUAUCGGCCCCUACUACCAGGGUUCAAAGUACAUCUGAUGGUGAAUGGUCUCCAGCGCUCCCUUUACCGGAAAUCCUAUUCGACCGGUUCCACUAUUCAAAUGCUAGAUUCAGACAUAGCUGCAUGUUUGAACUGUUUCCUUUUUGUAGGAGCACAAGAUAGUCGCACUCGCAAGCAACUCCACACAAAUACUAAAAGAUGCAGGCCGACAAACUGAGCAUGGCUUAAAUGGUUAGUUUUUUUAUGGUGUAACCAGUCUAUCAAGAUAAAGUCCUAGACUUAGCACUCAUGUUCGCAUUUUUUGAAAUUUAUUUUAGCCUUUUCGGUGAUGUUUGUUCAGCCCAAGGAAAAGUUCCAAUCGACUAUAAAGGUGCCCGCGAUAAGGUCGUCAAUCUGAAGAUGUUGUGCUGGCUAAGUAUUUCGAAGGCAUGGCAGGCUAUCCAGCAUGGCCUCGAGCUCCUGAAAAAGGGUAUCAUCUGACGGGUUAGAAACGGCCAGGACAUCCGCGUAUGGCGGGACCGUUGGCUGCUGCGGGAACCCUCCUGCCGACCCAUCACUCAGUAGGGGACCUACCGCAUAUGACGGGUGGCUGAGCUCCUUGACACUGAAGGCUCUUGGUGCACCGACUUACUUCCAGCCACACUUCCUGCCGAUAGACGUUGCCAUCAUCACCUACAUCAGGACUUCACCACACAUCACCGAUGAUAUCAUCGCAUGGGCGCUGGAGAAGAACGGUAUCUUCACCGUUUGAUCUGUGGGCCGUCUGAUAAUGGACGAGCGCGAGCGUCCAUUGGUACGGCAUGCACGCUCCUCUUGUUCAACCAGUGGACAGUGGUGUCGUGCGUAUAGCAUAGAGAGUCUCGUGUCAAACACUGUCCAUUGAUCAACCCUAUCGGCCCCUACUACCAGGGUUCAAAGUACAUCUGAUGGUGAAUGAUCUCCAGCGCUUCCUUUACCGGAAAUCCAAUUCGAUCGGUUCCACUAUUCAGAUGCCAGAUUCAGACAUAACUGCAUAUUUGAACUGUUUUCUUUUCGUAGGAGCACAAGAUAGUCGCACUCGCAUGCAACUCCACGCAAAUACUAAAAGAUGCAGGCCGGCAAACUGAGCAUGGCUCAAAUGGUUAGUUUUUUAUGGUGUAACUAGCCUAUCAGGUUAUAGUCCUAGACUUAGCACUCCUGUUCGCACUUUUUAAAUUUAUUUAAGCCUUUUCGGUGAUGUUUGUUCAGCCGGAGGAAAAGUUCCAGUCGACUAUAAAGGUGCCCGCGGUAAGGUUGUCAAUCUGAAGAUGUUGAGUUGGCUAAGUAUUUCAAAGGCAUGGCAGGCUAUCCGGCAUGGCCUCGGGCUCCUGAAAAAGGGCAUCAUCUGACGGGUUGGAAACGGCCAGGAUAUUUGCGUAUGGCGGGACCGUUGUGUGCCGCGUGAACCCUCCCAUCGACCCAUCACUCAGUAGGGGACCUACCGCAUAUGACGGAUGGCUGAGCUCCUUGACACUGAAGGCUCUUGGCGCAUCGACUUAGUUCCAGCCACACUUCCCGCCGGUAGAUGUUCUAGUCAUCACCUACAUCAGGACUUCACCACACAUCACCGAUGAUAUCAUCGCGUGGGCGCUGGAGAAGAACGACAUCUUCACCGUCCGAUCCGCGUACCGUCUGACAAUGGACGAGCGCGAGCGUCCAUUGGCCACCGACACGAGCAGGGGGCCGUAUGGUCGUCGCGCCAUCUGGAAGAUCAUAUGGGAUGCCCUGCUCCCCAAAGGUACGCAUGUUUGUAGGGAGGGUCGUCACGAGUUCUCUUGCUACUUGGGAUAACAAAGCUUCACGACGUCUUGAGGUGACUAAUGUUUGUGUUGGGGAACGUUGCAUGCGAAACAAAAAUUUUCCUACGCGCACAUAGGAUCCAUCCAUGGUGAUGACCAUCUACGAGAGGAGAGAUUGGAUCCACAUACCCUUGUAGAUCGCUAAGCAGAAGCGUAUAUAACGCGGUUGAUGUAGUGGAACAUCUUUGCGAUACAAAUCGCAGCCUGUCCCGCGAUCUCAUCACGAUCCGUCCCACGAUCCCAUGACGAUCCGUCCCGCGAUCUCAUCAAGAUCCUUCCCAAUCUAGUGCCGAACGGAUGGCACCUCCGCGUUCAGCACACGUACAGCUCGAUGACGAUCUCCGCCUUCUUGAUACAACAAGAGGGCGGAGAGGUAGAUGAUUUAUCCAACACAGUGGUGUGGUGGUGGUGGUGGUGAACUAAUCCAGCAGGGCUUCGCCAAGCUCUUCUAAACUAAUCUAGAGGAGAAAACGACGUAGAGAGAGAGAUGGCAGCACGUGGCUAAUUAGGGUUAGGGCUGCCCUCAGAUCCUCUAAUAUAUAUAGGAGGGAGGGAGGGGAGGAGGAAGCCUCAAAACCCUCAAAGGGUUCGGCCGAAGUGGAGGAGGUGGAAGAGUCCACCUCCAAUCCUACUCCUAGUAGGAUUCCUUCCUUCCCCACUUGUGUUUCUUUCCUUCCCACCUCCUAGCCGCAUUGGGCCUUAGUGGGGGGUUCGGCGAGCCCACUAGGUGCUGGUCCACGUCCUCCCACAGCCCAUGAGAACCUUUGAGGUGGGUGGGCCCACCUGGUGGACCCUCGGAACCCACUCGUCACUCUCGGUCACUCCGGAAAUGCCCGAAUCUUUUUUGGAGUUCAAAAACCACUUACUUUAUAGCAAUAUUUACCUCCGGAUCAUUCUGGUGCUCCUCGUGACGUCCAAGAUCUCAUCCGGGACUCCAAACAACCUUCGUUCACCAACAUACAUAACUCAAUAAUACCAAAACGUCAUCGAACCUUAAGUGUGCAGACCGCGCGGGUUCGAGAACUAUGGAGAUAUGACCUGAGACAUUCUCCGGUCAAUAAAAAAUAGCGGGACCUGGAUGCCCAUAUUGGCUCCUACAUAUUCUACGAAGAUCUUUAUCGGUCGAACCUGUAUGUCAAGGAUUCAGUUAAUCCCGUAUACUAUUCCCUUUGUCCAUCAGUAUGUUACUUGCCCGAGAUUUGAUCGUCAGAAUCUCUAUACCUAGUUCAAUCUCGUUACUGGCAAGUCUCUUUACUCGUUCCAUAAUACAAGAUCCCGUGACUAACUCCUUAGUCACAUUCCUUGCAAGGCUUAUUGUGCUUUUGUAUUACCGAGUUGGCCCCGAGAUACCUCUCCGUCACACGGAGUGAUAAAUCCCAGUCUUGAUCCAUGCCAACCCAACAGAUACCUUCAGAGAUACUUGUAGAGCACCUUUAUAGUCACCCAGUUACGUUGUGAUAUUUGAUACACACUAGGUAUUCCUCCGGUGUCCGGGAGUUGCAUGAUCUCCUGGUCAUAGGAACAGAUACAUUGACAUGUAGAAAACAGUAGCAAUAAACUGACGCGAUCAUAUGCUACGUUCAUAGUUUGGGUCUUGUCUAUCACAUCAUUUUCCUAAUGAUGUGACCCCGUUAUCAAAUGACAACACUUGUCUACGACCAGGAAACCUUGAGCAUCUUUGAUCAACGAGCUAGUCAACUAGAGGCUCACUAGGGACAGUGUGUUGUCUAUGUAUCCACACAUGUAUUUGAGUUUCCAAUCAAUACAACUCUAGCAUGGAUAAUAAACAAUUAUCAUGAACAAGGAAAUAUAAUAAUAACCAAUUUAUUAUUUCCUCUACGGCAUAUUUCCAAUAGCUCCCACUUGCACUAGAGUCAAUAAUCUAAUUCACAUUACUAUGUGAUUGCAAUGAAUCUAACACCCAUACAGUUCUGGGGUUCGAACAUGUCUUGCUUGUGAGAGAGGUUUUUAGUCAGCGGGUCCGAAACAUUCAGAUCCGUGUGUACUUCACAAAUCUCUAUGUCAUAUUGUAGAUCCUUCUACCAUGCUUCACUUGGAACAAUUCCAACGACUAUUGUACUAUAUGAAUCCGGUUUACUACUUAGAGUUAUCCGGAUUAGUGUCAAAGCUUGCAUAUACGUAACCCUUUACGAUGAACUAUUUUAUCACCUCCAUAAUCGAGAAAAAAAAAACUUAGUCCACUAGUUUCUAAGGAUAACUUUGACCGCUGUCCAGUGAUUCAUUCCUGGAUCACUCUGGUACCCCUUGACAAACUCAUGGCAAGGCACUCAUGAGGUGCGGUACACGGCAUGGCAUACUUUAGAGCCUACGGCUAAAGCAUAGGGGACGACCUUCAUCCUUUCUAUUUCUUCUGCCGUGGUCGGGCUUUAAGUCUUACUCAAUAUUCUCACCUUACAACACAGCCAAGAACUCCUUCUUUGGCUGAUCUAUUUUGAACUCUUUCAAAAUCUUCUCACGGUAUGUAUUCAUUUGAAAGUUCUAUUAAGUGUUUUGAUCUAUCUCUAUAGAUCUUGAUGCUCAAUGUUCAAGUAGCUCAAUCUAGGUUUUCCUUUGAAAAACACUUUUCGAACAACCCUAUAUGCUUUCCAGAAAUCCUACAUUAUUUCCGAUCAACAAUAUGUCAACCACAUAUACUUAUCAGAAAUUCUAUAGUGCUCCCACUCACUUCCUUGGAAAUGCAAGUUUCUCAUAAACCUUGUAUAAACCCAAAAGCUUUGAUCAUCUCAUCAAAGCGUAUAUUCCAACUCUGAGAUGCUUGAUCCAGUCCAUAGAAGGACCACUGGAGCUUGCAUACUUGUUAGCAUCCCUAGGAUCGACAAAACCUUCUGGUUGUAUCACAUACAACCUUUCCUCAGGGAAACGAUGUUUUGACAUCCAUCUGCCAGAUUCCAUAAACAAAAAAAUACAACAAGUGCUAACAUAAUUCCAACAGACUUUAGCAUCGCUACGAGUGAGAAAGUCUCAUCAUAGUGAACUCUUUGAACUUGUUAGAAACAUCUUUGCGACAUGCCAAGCUUUCUUAAUGGUGACGUUCACCAUCAUCGUCCGUCUUCCUCUUAAAGAUCCACUUCUACUUAAUAGCCUUACGACCAUCAAGUAGUUCUUCCAAAGUCUACACUUUGUUUUCAUACAUGGAUCCUAUCUCGGAUUUCAUGGCCUUCAGCCAUUUGUCGGAAUCCGGGCCCACCAUCGCUUCUCCAUAGCUCGUAGGUUCAUUGUUGUCCAACAACAUGACCUCCAUGAUAGGAUCACCGUACCACUCUGGAGUAGUACGUAUCCUUCUCGACCUACGAGGUUCGGUAGUAACUUGAUCCGAAGCUUCAUGAUCACCAUCAUCAGCUUCCACUUCAAAUGGUGUAAGCGCCACAGGAACAAUUUGCUGUGCCCUUCUACUAUCUUGUUGAAGUGAUGGUUCAAUAACCUCAUCAAGUUCCACCAUCCUCCCACUCAAUUCUUUUGAGAGAAACCUUUUCUCGAGAAAGGACCCUUUUCUGGAAACAAACACUUUGCUUUCAGAUCUGUGAUAGGAGGUAUUCCCAACUGUUUUGGGUAUCCUAUGAAGAUGCAUUUAUCCGCUUUGGGUUCGAGCUUAUCAGGCUGAAACUUUUUCACAUAAGUGUCGCAGCCCCAAACUUUUAAGAAACGACAGCUUAGGUUUCUCUAAACCAUAGUUGAUAUGGUGUCAUCUCAAUGAAGUUACGUGGUGCCCUAUUUAAAAGGAAUGCGGUUGUCUCUAAUGCCUAACCCAAAAAACGACAGUGGUAAUUCGAUAAGAGACAUCAUAGUAUGCACCAUAUCCAAUAAGGCGCGGCUAUGACGUUCGGACACACCAUCACACUAUAGUGUUCCAGGUGGGAUGAGUUGUGAAACAAUUUUCACAUUGUCUUAAAUGUUUACCAAACUCGCAAAUCAGAUAUAUAUUUACCCCCACGAUCACAUCGUAGACAUAUCAUCCUCUUGGCACGACGAUCUUCAACUUCACUCUAAAAUUUCUUUGAACUUUUCAAUAUUUCAGACUUUGUGAUUCAUCAAGCAAAUACACUUGUAUCUACUCGAAUCAUCAGUGAAGUAAGAACAUAAUGAUAUUCACUGCGUGCCUCGGCACUCAUUGGACUACAUACAUCAAAAUGUAUUAUUUCCAACAAGUCACUUGCUCGUUCCAUCUCACCGAAAACGAGGCCUUCAGUCAUCUUGCCCAUGUGGCAUGAUUUGCAUGUCUCAAGUGAUUCAAAAUCAAGUGAGUCUAAGAGAUCCAUUUGCAUGGAGUUUCUUCAUGCGUUUACACCAAUAGGCAUGGUUCACAUGUCUCAAACGAUUCAAAAAUGAGUGAGUCCAAAGAUCCAUCAGCAUUGUAACGACCAAGAUGCGGUCCUUUCCGAUCUGGGGGUUGAGGCCCCCGAAUAGGAAAGAAGCGCAUCUAAGCGUUUCGCAAGCAAGUAACAUAGCACAAAAUAAUAAUACAAGUAGACAAUUCGGGAUUCAACUGUCUUCUUAUUAAUAACUCAGAGUACAACACAGAUACAAACAAGGUAGUUUCGGUACGGACUACAAAACAUGGAAAAUGCUAUGCUACCCUGCUGCAGGCCCACGAUCACGACCACGGCUCAGUCCUCUGGAUAGUUCACGUAGAGGCGGUCUGUCUCCUCGUCGUACUGCCACGCCAGCUGGGUGCCGUCGGGAUCAUCUGUCUCUGGGGUACCUGUACCUGCUGGGAGUUUCAGAGGAAUCCGUGAGCCACGGGGACUCAGCAGUCUAAGACCUUGGUGCCAGAACUAGUCAUGUUAUUGGGUAGGGAAGGGAGAAGUGUAUCAGGCUGCUGCAUCCUAUGUUUGAAUAAGUGGCUAACGUACGCAAAAGAGAAGUGAAGGUGGUCUACGCUAACGGUCGGGAUUACUUGAUCAGUAAGUGAUCCUGAACACCUACCUACGACAUUCAUAACCCCACCGUGUUCCCGAUCGAAGUGAGAUCUUCAAAGGGACGGUCACGGUUACGCACACAGUUGGAAGUUUUAUUAGUUUAUGUUUAAGUUCUCUAAUACCGGAUGUUAACAAAAUAUUCCAAGUUGCCACAUAACCGCGGGCACGGCUUUCCGAAAGAUUAAACCCUGCAGGGGUGCUCUAACUAGUCCAUCACAAACGAACACAGGCCGCAAAGGCAUCCUGUAUCACGAAUCUCGUGAUCUCGUCGGAUUCCUUAGCGGAAAACCUCAACUCUGGGGGGAAACCAAAGCUUCACUGGGAUUCCUAUACACAAGAUAUACCGCUUAGGUAAGGCAAGGCUAGCAGGACCUCCCGACGUGUCGACGACCCCGAUAAGAGCCACGUAUCUCAGUCUCAGGACACGCCGGAUGGAACUAGCUACAGGUACCAAACCUCAAGUUUCCUUGUGGUGGCCCCGCAGGCAGACCAGUUUGGACCAACACUCAUGAGGAGCACUGGCCCGGGUUGUAGAUUAAAGAUCCUCGGGGUAGCUAUUCCCUAUGUAGAUUAUUAUGUGAUUAGCAGAUUAAAACCAAAGUUGGGUCCUACCGGACAAGCCUUAGCACUACGCGAUUUAUCAAGGGGGUCCCCAUAACAACCCUGAACGUGUUAGGAGCGAUCAUUAUGGAAUCAAACACCGGUAACCAGUAACUAAGGCGGCAAUAACGGAACAAAGAACCCGGCAAAAGGCUAGGCCUCCCGUCAUUUACCAAGUAUAUAGGUGCAUUAAAUAAAUAACAUAAUUUAAUAUAAUGAUAUCAAGCUCAUGGCAUCACAUGAGUUUUUAAACACCUGCAACUAGCAAUGCUAACAUUAGUAGCUGAGCAAUCCUACUUAGCCACACAAGUUUGCUAGGAAGGAGAACGGUGUUUGGGCUCAUGGCAUAUGAAGAGGCAAUUUAAUUUCAGUGGUAGGCAGCGAGCAAUAUGACAUGGAAACGAAACUAACAUAACAAGUCUAGAGAUGGAAUCAAGGUCAUAUCAUCUUGCCUGUGAUAUACUCAGCUUGGAAUGGUUCUGGUUCGUCCUGCACGUACUCUCCUGACUCCACGUAUUCGUUCUCCGAUCCCGGUGCUACCCAACAUAAGAAUAACAGACAAUGAACAGCAGCACCACAAGAUGCAACAAUCACAUGAUGCAUGAGAUGAAAAUUGAGCAUGCACCACUAUUUCUAUCACUAGCACAAGCAAAAUAAACUACUGCAAGUUUCUGGACAGUACUGUACACUAAGAUAUUUUGACAUGCAUGAGAAUGACAUGAUCAGAUGCGGCUCGUGAAAACGGUGCAAAACCAUAUAAAGAACAUAGCAAACGGAGCUACGGAUCAAUGGGAAUCAACGGAACAAGAUAUGAAGCUCUACGUGGAAGAUUCAACACCACACUCACAAAUGGCACAAAUCUGGUAUUCCCAGGUUGCCAAGACCUGUAUCAUUCCAACAUGAAUGAAUUUGAGCAAGGAAGAACACCACAACAUCAAUUAAGCACACACAUUGAUCAAAAUGACAAAACUACCUAUUCUGUCAUAAUCUGCAUCUUAGCUAUUUGGGAGCUACAUGCAACAUAGCUACAGGCCUCCAACCAUGACAAAUAAUAUAUGUGGCUGUUGCCAACCAAGAUCACUACAAUCACCAGCAAGAUUCACCGCAAAACGAAUUAAACUCUAGAAGAUACAAGGCCACAAACUUUCCCAAAACCAUCAGAUCUCAGGGACUUUGUGAAAAUUCCUGCACCUGAGUUUCUGUCUCUGUCCCGAAGCCUUUUGACAGAAAUCAAAACACAACCUACUGCACUCCAAAUGACUUGAAAUUUGACAGGGAGCUUCACAAACAUGCCAGGUUCAAAAUCCUAGCACUGAACUAGGGCUAGUUCUCAACAGAAUGACCAGUAUAUCCUCAUCUAUAGGGGACGAAAAUGUUUCCAGAAUCCCAGACUUGGUGAAAUUCCAGAUUUCACUAAACUGGAAAUUUUCAGCCACAUGCCCACUUUGUCUAGGCAUAGUUUGCACACACAUUACACCAAGUGAUAAUUGACACCACUAUAGUGUAGAGCAAAACCCCUACUACUAACACACAAGAACUCAUGCCCUUGGGCUCCACCUAUUCCAUGGAAUCAAGGCUCAAACUUGCAACAAAUCUGAAUAUGCAACUCCGUAAAGUACCCUACUAGGACAACAACUACAAGGGUUGGGUUCAUGUGCACAAUGACAAAGUGACAUGGGGGUUUGAACCCCAUGUUUGUGUCAUGCACAUCAACAACACCAACACAUCUACCAAACUAUCCCCACACACAAACACCAUGCCCUCUCACAUAUAGACAUGUGAAGGUGCAUAAUUUUGCAAAGGUGGGGAAGUUUCACACACACACACAUACUCCACAUCAUUCACCACAACAUCAACUCCUAAAACCAAGAACAACAUAAGGGGGAUAACUACUAAGCAAGUAACUUGGAAGCAUCACCUCUCAAGCAUCUUUAGUAGGAACCACAAGUGGUGUGCACUCCCAACAAACACAAUUCCAUGCCUACACUAUCAACUACACUUACAACCCCUAUGCACCCAUGCCUAUUUGCAAUCACACCAUCAACAUAAACUAACCACAUGCACACAUAUAUCACUUAAGCCACGAACAUCAACUAACUCUAUACUAGUGUGCAAAACACACACACAAUAUAAUCUGCACCCAUCUACACUAGCAGGGGGAAAAAAUACAUAGGACACCUUGAUGUCUAUGCAUAAGAAAGAGGAAGAACAAAAUAAAAGGACAGCAAAAAAAACAAAAAUAUGCAUCAGGCUCCUCGGAAUCGAACCCAAUACCUCCUGGUACACCACACUGCAUUCUACCACUCUUCUGCUGGCAUUGUUUUGACAGAGAGAGAGAGGAAUAGUGCAGGUUAACCCCUCCCUGCUGCUGCUACUGCUAUCAACCAGAGAAAGAAAACCCAAAAAGGAAGGAGGUGCACCACUUGGGACUCGAUCCCUGCACCUCUUGGUAAAUCACGGGGCUCUCUACCACUGCGCUACGAAUGGCUACUGAACUAAUACGCGCAAGAAAAUAGAUGAAGGGUCUCUCCCGUGCUUAUCUGCUACUUGAUCUACCGUGCUCGCCUGAGACAGAGACGACAACAUAGACCAGACUGCCCACGCCCAACGUCGACGGGGAAAAGUUCCCUGGCCGCGGCGCUGCUAGCACGAGGGGGGAGGAAGCCCCCUCUGCGCAACACACCCACAUGCACUACCUCAUGCAGAUCCUACCACUACCACAGCUACCUGCUACUACUGCUGCUCGAACAGAGAGCACGCACGCGCCACAGGCCGGAUCCGGGCUGAGCUACGGAGGAGAAAGGAAGGGGGAGGUGCAGCCUCACAUUGGGAAGGAAGGGGGGGUCCCGAUCUGACGGGGAGGAAGCCGGACCGGAGGGGAAGAAGGCGUGCCGAGGUAGAUCCUGCCAUAGACCAAAGUAGAGGAGGCAGAACACCAGGUUCGCGCCGUUGACGAGGACGAGCUCGACGGUGGGGUCGCUCCCCGGGGCUUCUAGCGCCGGGAAUGGGUCGCGGGGAACCACCCCGAGCCCCCGGACAUGGCGGCCUUGCCGCUCGACGGUGCACGCAGGGUUAGACAUGGCGUGGAGCUCUCUGUUCUCUCUGCUACCCUACAGAAACUUACCAGGAAAGGAGGGAGAAGAGAGAUGGAGGGGGAGAAGAGAGGUGGCGGCAGCGGGAUAGGGAAGGAGAGGAACCCUAGGCCGAGGGGAAGGCUCGGACGCCCAACUUAUAUGGGGGGGGACCUCGACGUCUGUGCACGGCAUCAACUUCCUCUCUCUCUCGUUCUGACGGAAAGGUGCAGCGAGGGGGACGGCGUUUGCAGGUGGAGGAGGGAGGCUGCGGGCUGAGGGGAAGAGAGAAGUGGGCCGACCUGUGGUUAGAAUCCCACAGGGUGGCACCAGAUAAGGGAGAGGAACUCCCCUAGCUCUUUCCAUUUACAGGAAACAAAUAAAUGACAGGGAGAAAACAAAAGCACAAGGAAAAAAAAUACAAGUGCUAAAAAUUAAAAUAGCACUUGUUCUGGACAUGUAAAAACAAGACUUAUGUAAUAAAAAUGAGAACAAGAAUUUAGGAGCAAGCAUUUAUUUAACAAAACACCCAUGGUAGGGGCUGUUUGUAGUUGCUUACCCCUUUUAAACCCCUGAUCAAAAUCAGCAAAUCACACAUCUCAUCCACCAUAAUUCUAAGCUAACACAUGAGCAUUUUCAAAAGAGGAAAGGAAGAAGAGAAUCUUGACAUAGGGGAAAUAGAGAGAGGGGUGAUGAUGAUUUUUGAAACCUAAGCAUAUACUAUCACAUGCAUCACCUCACACAAACUAUAUAUCACAUGCACACAACACAAGGCAACACAUGGAAUCAUAAGAGCACAUUGCAACAACAAGAACCCAUGGCAUGAAAUAACAUGGUAUGCAUGCAUGCAAGGGAGAGACAUUAAUAAGGUGACAACACAUGAAAUCAUGGCUCAAAAUGACAUCAUCAUAACCAUGACAAAGUGGACCCACUUGCAAUAGGUUCCAAAUAGGGAAGGUUUACACUUGGGGCAUUACAAACUCUCCCACACUACAAAGAAGAUCUCGCCCUCGAGAUCUAAGACUGAAAGAAAUCGGGAAAUUCGGAACGGAGGUGAUCCUCGCGUUCCCACGUUGCCUCUUUAUCGGAGUGGUGUGACCACUGCACUUUGAGAAACUUGACAGACUUGUUGCGAGUCUUGCGCUCAGUCGCCUCGAGAACCGCAACUGGAUGCUCACGAUAAGAAAGGUCAGGCUGAAGAUCGAUAUCUUGAAGAUGCACAGUGCGCUCGGGGUUCUUGAAACACCUCCGAAGCUGCGAAACAUGGAACACAUCAUGGACAUUUGCAAAGGUUGACGGAAGCUCGAGCUGGUACGCGAGGUCGCCCCUCUUGCCAACCACUCUGAACGGACCAACGAAACGAGGCGCAAGCUUGCCUUUGAUGCCAAAACGCUGCAUACCCUUCAUAGGUGACACCUUGAGAUAGACAAAAUCAUCAAGCUCAUACGACAUGUCACGGUGCUUGCUAUCGUAAUAGCUCUUCUCACGGGUAGCUGCUCUGAGGUUGUCGCGAAUGAUCCGACACAUCUCCUCAGCUUCUUCUAUCAUAUCAUUGCCAAGGAUCUGACGCUCGCCUGUCUGGGACCAGUUGAGCAGAGUACGACACUUCCUGCCAUAGAGAAUUUCAAACGGAGCCUUGCCAGAACUAGCUUGAUAACUGUUGUUAUACGAGAACUCCGCGAAAGGCAGACAAUCUUCCCACUUCAUGCCGAAAGAGAUAACACAGGCUCUCAGCAUAUCCUCUAGAACUUGAUUCACUCUCUCCACUUGACCUCUAGUCUGAGGAUGGAACGCUGUGCUGAAGCGGAUCUUCGUGCCCAUAGCAGACUGAAAGGAGUCCCAGAACUUGGAAGUGAAGAUACUUCCGCGAUCUGAUGAGAUCAUCAUAGGUACACCGUGCAAAGAGACAAUCCUGGAGGUGUACAAUUCUGCCAGCUGAGCUGCUGAAAUGGACUCCUUGACUGUAAGGAAAUGCGCCACUUUACUCAAUUUGUCGAUGACGACGAAGAUAGCGUCAUUGCCCUUCUUAGACUUCGGAAACCCGGUGACGAAGUCCAUCUCAAUGUGAUCGAACUUCCACUCGGGAAUUGGCAAAGGCUGCAAGAGGCCCGCUGGUCUUUGAUGUUCUGCUUUCACCCUUCGACAUACAUCACACUCGUUUACGAAUUGUGCAAUUUCACGUUUCAUACGGGUCCACCAGAAAGUCUGCUUCAAGUCGUGGUACAUUUUGGAACUUCCAGGAUGAAUAGAGAGCAGAGAGUUAUGAGCUUCUUCCAUGAUCACCUUCCUGAGAUCACCUUUCGGGACGACAAGGCGGUCCUCGAAAAACAAAGUGUCCCUGGCAUCAACAGUGAAACACUUAUACUUGGGAAGACUCUUUCCCACACCAAUCUUGACCUUCUUCACCAUAGCGUCAAGUAGUUGAGCUGCUCUGACCUGAUCUUCCAAGGUAGGAGCGAUGUGAAGGUUCGCAAGAAAACCCUGAGGAACCAGCUGAAGAUUGAGCUUCCUGAAAGACUCAGAAAGACCCGACUGGAGAGGUUGCAGAAUCAAACUGUUGCAAUAUGCCUUCCUGCUCAAUGCAUCUGCCACAACAUUUGCCUUGCCUAACGUGUACUCCACACUUGGAUUAAAAUCCUGGAGCAUUUCCACCCAACGUGUUUGCCGAAGAUUCAAGUUAGGCUGAGUGAAGAUAUACUUGAGGCUCUUGUGAUCGGUGAAAACUUCAACCUUACGUUCCAACAAGAGAUGUCUCCAAGUCAUCAAGGCGUGCACAACAGCUGCUAGCUCGAGAUCGUGCACAGGAUAGUUCUUCUCCGCAGGCUUCAGCUGCCUGGAGGUAUAAGCAACCACCUUCCUAUCUUGCAUCAAGACUGCACCGAAACCCUGGAGAGAAGCAUCGCAAAAGACCUGGUACGGCUUGGAAUCAUCGGAGGAGCCAAUACCAGCGUGGAGAUAAGCUUCUCUUUGAGUGUAUCGAAAGCCAGUUGACACUCUGGAGACCAAACAUACUUGACACUCUUCUGAAGAAGACUAGAGAGCGGCUUGGCGAUUUUGGAGAAGUUCUCAACGAAUCUUCUGCAAUAUCCGGCAAGACCGAGAAAGCUUCGAAGCUGCUUCACAUUCUGCGGAGGUUCCCAUUCAACAAUGGCUUGAACCUUGGACGGGUCAA
rnacentral:lncRNA from 1 species